AGUUGUGUAUUAUUUGGAUGUAUUUUCCAUUAGGAAGACUAGAAACCCUGAUUGUACUUAUUGUAUCUCAAGGUUCUUGGUUAUUAUCCAUACAUCUGGUAGCAAUAUUUGACCUUUACAUGGAGGUCUUGCGCAUGAUCUUGGAAUGAUUUUUUUGUUUUCUGUUUUUUGUUUUUUUUCCCUUUUGUGGACUGACAUGAGCUUGGAUCUUAUUUUUAGUUUAAUGUAGCUAGUUCCUUUUCAUAAGAUGCCCUGUUUUGUAAAUGUUAUUUCUCAAAUUUGUUGCACAUUUUUGGAGAGGUAGUCCCAACAUAUGUUCUUAGACUUCGUAUUUUCCUUUUUGUCUAUUCACAUUGGAUUUUGAUGAAGUUAAGUGGACUUGGAUCCCUCGUAAGAAGAAUUGAGCAGCUCAUGUAGCGGCGUCUUUCUGAAUCAUCAGAAUAUCCGGACUCAUUUCGCCUCUUUGAAUAGAGGAUAUAGUAAUUUCUCUUGGAUUUAUCAGUCUAAGCAGGAGACAAUAUACUUUGAUGUUAUUGCUUAUUUUUUUAUUUAAAGAAUCAUCCCAUCUCAAUUGAAAAUGCAAAUACCUUUUUAGCUACUAGGGGCGAGUCUAUUACAGGAAUAGCGUCUGGUACGCCUGUUACAAUUUUUACUGCCUAAUAACCAAUUUGGUCCCGAGAUAAGGAAUAACCAGUUACACCAAAAGAUGCGGUCAAUACACCCAAAACCACACCUGUAACCCAAGUCAAUUCGCGAGGUUUUUUAAAGCCACCGGUUAGAUACACACGCGUCGAUAUAAAACACAAUUUACAUGGCCAUGUGUAUCACUAGACUGAUGGAAAAUCACAUGAAAAUCUCAGUAUGUAAAAUUAGAUACUAAAUAUAAUGAUUUGUACUCUAUAAUAUCUGAUUGAUGCAUAAGAUUGUAUAACUUCGAAUUAACAUCAUCAUGUAAUUUUGGAUUCAAACUUACGCCUUCUUCUAACAUUAGGAAAAGAAAUACCACUAUACUAAAACGUUAAUUAUUUUGAACAUGGGGAUACAAUGAUGCACUAGUAGCGCUCCCGUAUUUUCAAAACGUUUCUGUGUACAUACAUAGACCUACUCGAAAAGAGUGGAUAAUUGGCUUCUAGUAAACAGGGGAUCAUUUCUCAUCAAAUCAUUUGCAUAGUCUUUAAGGCUGAGCCUGUACCUUACUUUCAAGAUUAAUUGGUAGAGCUACUACCUCUACGUGCAUAAAAAUUUGCUUCUUCUUGGAGCACUUGCAUAGCAAUCUUCAUCCUCUUCCCUCUCAUACUUCACCCAGUAAUAAGCAGCCUGCCUAAAGAACCAAAGCAAUGCCUGCCUAUUCAAAUGGGUAAGGUGUAGGGUGAACAAAAAUUCCCACUCAUGAAAUAAUGGCAAGACGACAAAACGAGAUGGCCUAUAUGUCUGAUCAUAAUUGAAUAAAGAUAAGAAAAGAUAGGAAAAAGUGAGGGAAUCCAAUAAAGUGAUAUAAAGAUAGAUGGACAAGGAUUCAGAACAUGAUUGAAACAAGAUAAUGUUAAUUUUAGAGAGACGCGCCAUCGGCCCACUACUAGCAACACCAAUAUUGUCCCGAACUUAACCACCUACAAAGCCCAAUAGGUGUGAGAUUUUAUCACAAAAGGCCUCAGUAAUAUUAGUAAUGGAACCAUUCAUUAUAUGUUGUAUUUUAUUUAGUCAAGUUUCCAAUGUGAGACUUUAUAUUCUUCAACACGCCCUCUCAUGUGUGACCACCACAUAAUGGGCCACACGUGGAUCCAAGUCCACAUCGGAGUUAAUCAUUCAAGCCCAACACGUGAAGACUACGUAUUGAGUAAGGGGUAAAGAUAAACAUUCAAGCCCAACAUGUGAACACUAUAUAUUGGGUAAGGGUAAAGGCCCAAUUAAGGCCCAGUCAAUUAAAUUUCAGAGAAACGGGCCAGCGGCCCACUAAUAGCAACACCGAUAUUGUCCCAAACUUAACCACCUAUAAAGCCCAAUACGUGUGAGGUUUUAUCACAAAGGCCUCGGUAAUAUUAGUAGUGGAAACAUUCACUAUAUGUUGUAUUUUAUUUAGUCAAGUUUCCGAUGUGCGAAUUACAGACAACAGAAGAUGAGUAAUGGUUUAGAAAAUAAUUGAAGUAGACAAGUGAAGAUGGGUAAGGGUUCAGAAAAUAAUUAAAGGAGGAUAAAGGAAUCCAAUGAAGAAUUGUCCUAUUGUGAAGAAUGUGUCAUGUCCUAUUGUGUGCAAGUGCAACCUCCUAGUCUGUUCAACCAUGCGAAGAAUGUCUAUUGGAGAAACUCCUUGCUUAUUGCCUAAUCUCUUUUUGAAAAUCUUGGUAAAAUGUCUUCCAAAAAUACUCCCUAUUUUUCACGUAUCACCUUUUUAACACUCUGUUUCUCUGCAUCAGCUACUUUGAUCUUCCCUAUUGUCUCCCUCUCAUGUAUCACUUGUCACACUUUGCUUCAUCGUCUUCUUCACUUGUACACUCUCACCAACUGAACAUGGCCACUGACGACAGACCACCCUUUUUCCUUCAUUUGUUUUGGCUACUGAAUGUUACUGAUCAUAAAAGAGGGAACUUGGACUCUUUUUUCAAGAUUUGGUUCUCUCUUGUAUUAAGAUUGAAUUAAUUUGCAAUUUUUUACUAGUACUUCUUGUUUAUUUUCCCCCAUCUGAUUCCUGUAUGGUGCUUGGCCAUAAGUGAGUUAUAAACUUUUAGACUUUAAGCUCAAGCAGAAAUUGUAUAUUGGAGGUGGCUGAAGAUUCUCAUGGUGCUGCAAUAAAAAAAAAUCGGAGGAAUUGAUUUGAGUUAUUUCUACUGAAAGUGGGUGAUACAUUGCAUGGGUUGGGAAAUGCUUGUUGAUGUUGCUUGCUUAUAAUAAUUUUCAAGAUAAACUUCUCAGAAAGUACAAGUAAUUUUUUUGUCAUAUCUGGAUGAAGAAUUGUAUAUUGUCUCUGGUGCUUUUGGAAGAUUAUUAUGUCUCAAGUGGGGGAGCUCCAUGCGUUGAUUGGAAGUGUUGGCUUGCCAUUUCUAGCGUGCAAGAAGCUGGAAUUGGUUAUAAAUGACAAUGGGCAAACAUUUGUAAUCAAGUAAAGACACAGAACAGAAGAUCACAUGCAAGUGAUCACAGGGGGUUGUGAGAUCACAGGCAUGUGAGGCUAGAGAAUGCCCUGAGCAGUCUGUGAUUCAUGCAUGAGCAAUCUGUCAAGAGGAUCUCCUGUACCUUUUGUCUUUUUACCCUCGCAUUUCCUUCUAAAAGGCAAACAAAUUGCUUUUCUCCCAUGUAAGGGAAUGCUCUGCAGUUGGACUGUUUUACAAUUUAUUUGCCACAAGUUUCUUUGAUAUGCCUUGUGUUGCAGACAGUGGAAUGUUGCAUUGACAUGUUAUGUGAUGCGCCUUUUGGUGGUAUUAUGUCAAACAAAGUGGGGCAAAUAUUCAGUUAUGCUAAGAUAUGCUCAUAUUAUUAUUAUUCUUUAAUAUAGAGGUAUUUAUACAAGUACAAAGAUGUGUUAACCCUAAAUAAAAUAGGAAAUAUAUCUAAAUUACAAUAGGAAAUAAAUCUCUAUUACAAUAGGACUAAAUAAUAAUUGGUAAGUAACCAAAAUUUUAAUUAAAUAAGGAACCAAAAUCCUAACUAAGUAAGGACUCGCCAACACUCCCCCUCAAGUUGGGGCAAAGAUAUUUCACAUACCCAACUUGACAAGCGAGUCGCAGAACACCAUACUUGAGAAGCAACAAUUGUAGAGAAGGUCUUUUCGUCAACCAAGAGUGAAACAAGUGACAAAUUAAAGCAAAGUUCGCAGCGAAAACAUAAGAGCAAACCCUAAAAACUAGGGCACAUAGAAGAACACAUAAAAGCAGAACACAGAAACCAUGUGAACACGGCAGUAAAUAAGGCAUAACACAGAAACCCUGUGAGCACGGCAGUAGAUAAGACAGAACACAUGUGAGCACAGAAGUAGAUAAGAUAGAACACAGAAACCCUGUGAGAACGACAGUAGGUAAGCUAGAACACAGAAAUCCUAUGAGCACGACAGUAGAUAAGGCAGAACACAGAUACCCUUUGAGCACGGUAGUAGGUAAAGCAGAACAUAGAAACCCUAUGAGUAGGGCAGUAGAUAAGGCAGAACACAAAUACCCUGUGAGCACAGCAAUAGAUGAAGUUGAACCAGAAGCAAGUGAAGAAAUAAAGGCAUCAACAUUAGGCAUGGUGAUGAAUGGUGGGGAGGCGACGACGACAGUAGCAAGGUAGACAGCGGCGGCAGGCUAGGAUUAUAGGCUAAGUGUAUAGUGCAGCUAAAAUAGGUAGUGUCUAGGGUUAAGGAAGAGACAGAUAAAAAACAUAGCAACAUCAUCAGCAAUAACCAUAGCAACGGAGCGAAGCAAACAAAGGCAAGGUCAAUGGUUAUGAUCGCAGCAGAAAAACACACCAGCAAAGGCACGAACACGAUAGAAGCAACAACAACAAUGUCCCCAACAAGAGACAAUAAUAUUGACAGUAGCAAGAGCAACACAAGGCACUGGCACCAGCAAGAGCAAUAUAAGGCACUGGCACCAGCAAGACAAGGCAGGGCAAACAACUGUGGCAGCAACAACAAUAGAGACAACUUCUCUUCACUCUCCCUCUCGCCCUGAAGAGAAGGGGUCGAUAGAGCCAUAUGAUUAGUGGUACUUGAGAAACAGGCACGGACAAUCAGCCAUGAUAGAUAGGUAGGUGAAUUGCAAUGGAAUAGAUGAGCAGCAGUGUCACUCCCACUCAAGUUCGACGAUGUAUGAGAGUCGAGAUUUGGAGAAAGUAACACCCAAAUUAACAGAGAGACAAAGGCCAACUAGGAGAAGGCUCGGCGAGCGGUGACGAGGCUUGCAGAGGUUUGAGAUGGCUCGGUGAGCGGUGACGAGGCUCAUGGAGGAAAGAGAUCAGGCCAUCAAUGGCCAAGGGGCGUGUUGCCCAUAUGGUAUACAUUUAAAAGAGAGGCUCGGUUGUGAGCGCAGGAGACUGAAACUAACAUGGGCUCAAUCUUAUUUUAACAGAAAGCAAGCUCAUAGAGAGAUGAAAAGUAAGAGAAAAAAGGCAGCAGUAGGCAUAUGUAGAGAAAAAGAAAGGUAAUGACUCAACAUAAACACGGCAAGGACAGAGACAAGGGUAAAAUUACAGAAAUGUGUGGUUAUGGCUAAGGCAUAAGAAAUAUAUGUUGAUUAUUAAGGAAAGGAGAAACAGGGAUUUACAGCAAGGUGAGGACCGAUGAUGUGUUAGGAAUGAGGAACGCCAACGACUCUCAAUUUGUCAGAGGAUCUCAAGGAUUAGCAACCAGGCUCUGAUACCAUGUCAAACAAAGUAGGGCAAAUAUUCAAUUAUGCUAAGAUAUGCUCAUAUUAUUAUUCUUCUCCAAUAUGGAGGUAUUUAUACAAGUACAAAGAUGUGUUAACCCUAAAUAAAAUAGGAAAUAUAUCUAAAUUACAAUAGGAAAUAAAUCUCUAUUACAAUAGGACUAAAUAAUAAUUGGUAAGUAACCAAAAUUCUAAUUAAAUAAGGAACCAAAAUCCAAAGUAAGUAAGGGCUUGCCAACAGUUUUGGUACUGAAUUCUUCUCUAAAAGCAGGAUUCCUUGAUCCAACCGGUGACGAAAAGCUUGCUUGGAGUAGCUUUAUAACCGUCCUAAUAACCUUGGUUCUGAAGGAUCCUUCAUAGUGGGUCCAAAUUGAACAUUUCUGGCGGGAAUUUUCCUCAGUGGAUCAUUACUCUGGUGGUAAAAGUUUUUACUUGGAUGAGGAAGAGAACCAGAGAAUAAUUUGCUAAAAAGUAUGGUUGGUUGAAAGGCGCCAUUGUUGCUUUCCCUUGUAAGGCCUUUUUGUUUCUCAAAUUUUGUUAAAAAGAAUUUGAUUCAGUAUCAUCUGAAUUUUGACGAUGAAGCAAGUGGUGCUCAUCUGGACGUCGUCAUAACUGUAAUUGGCAACAAGCUAAACUCAAAGAUAAAUUGAUUAGCAACAAACUUAAAUUGGGUCUAAAAUACCAAACAUCGGAAACAACAUUCCUAAGAUCAUCUUGUUGCAACAUUAAGAUUCGAAACAAUAGAUUAAUAAAUGGGUGAUUAACAACAUUCCUACAUAGUUACUUUAUUUUUCAAUUAUUUUUUUCCUAUGUAUAUAGUGGUAUUGUGAAACAUAUUUCUACUACUUGAUGCCUUAGAUGCCUUUAGCUUAUAGGACUUAAUAAAACAACAUAAAGAGUGCUAGCUUUUUUCUUCUCUUGGUACUUUGAUUCAAGUACAUAUUAGCUAAAUCUGCCUCAAUCUUUAACGUUUGAAGUUUUAUGAUCUUCCACAAUACAAUCCUACUUGGAUCUCUAUUUUCGUUCUUAAUUGUGUGUGUAUAUAUAGAAGACAAUGGCAUUAAAAUCACCGUCAACUUUUGGAUCCAUGAAAAAACAAAUUUUUUCAUUGGAUGGAAAAUCAUAACUGCUGGUUUGAAUUACAUUGGAUGUUUGUUUGGAUGAGUGUGUUGCGUCUAUCCAAGUGCAAGUAGUCACACGUAGUAAUAAUCUUGGAAGUCCAAGUAUCGUAUCCUCAAGGAGCAGGUAGGCAAAUAUCUGCACACAAAGAAAUAACUAAACGUACCACAAUAAAAGUCACAAGCAAAAUGGAAAAGUAAUUUGAUUUGAUUGUUGUGGAAAUUGAGUUUAAAAAUGAAAUAUCAAUAAUGGAAAAGCUAAGGCAUCCAGGUUCAAUUCUUUAAGCAAAAUAUGUUUCAUGCUCUUUAAUCCAAAUUAUAACUCGAUUAAAAUUAUCAUUGAGAAACUUUAACCGGAAGAUAUAAAGAAAUUAAAACCAAUUUAAUUUUUCAAUGUUAUCUUUUCUUAGUGAUUGUUCAGAAAAUGGAAUUGCUUAAUAUCUACUCUUUUAAUUUAAAAGCAUGCUAAGUCAGUUCUUAACAAUGAGAAAAAUAUAAUUGAACUCAUGAAAAGAUAGUAGCACUUAACAUCAAUCAAAAUAAAAGGAUAUGAAAAUAUUGAACAACCAAAAAUAAAAGAAUUUAGCAAUUCAUACCGUAUAUUGGAUUAAAGAAUAAUUCACAAACUUACUCAAAAAACAUUCCCUUUAGCCUUAGCUAGAGUUCUAGCAACUCAUUUCAAAGGAAAAUAUAAAUUAAAUUUUGAAUGAAAUGGAUAAAGAAAUCUGUCGUAGUGGUGCCCUUGCCAAAUAUGUUGAUCGGUGAUUUAUAGUAGCCAAUGAGGUGAGUGGGAAGUUAAUACAUUCGUGGUGGGUAAUGAAGGGUUUAAGUGAGAGAUUAAUUGGAUUAAACAUGUGUUGAUGGUGGAGAGUUAGUGGAAAAGAAAUAACGGUGAGGUAGUGGGCAUUAAAUGGCUAUGAAUGACAUGAAAUAGGCUCUUUAGCUUCAACGGUGUUGUCUUCUCUUCUCCCUUUUUACUUCUCUUUAUAAUCACAAUCAAUUCUUCAAUAAAAUCCGCCAGCAAGUCUCUUCACACCUGGCUUGAACUUGAAAAAAUGUAUGUCUUCAUCUUUUGUGUAACACCCCGACUCCAAAUUUAAUUCCUUAUUUAAUUUAUUUAAGUGAAAUUAAUAAAUUACCCUUGGGGUAGGGGUAUUUUAGUCAUUUUCUCAUUCGAAAAGAGUUUGGGACAGUGACUAGUAUUUUUGGGUUGGUCGUACUGAGACGAGUCUGUAGACACGCAGUAGGCUUGAAUCGGAAUUGUAACGAAGAAGUUACGAUCAAAAGAAACUCAGUGGCACGAUCGUAAUUAUUUCGAAAAGAGUUAGGGUAAAAAUCUAAUUUUUCACUUUCUACCUCUCUCUCUCUCUCUCUCUCUCUCUCUCUCUCUCUAUCCCUCUGCGCGCAACCCCUCUCCCAUGCUAUUGUUCACCGAGACCAGAAACCACCACACCGCCACCACGUCCGGCCAACCCAUACGACGAGAUUGGUCCCGAUCGACUCCUCUUGAAGCCCCGAACCCAAACCACUAGUUUUCCCGACUGGAAAACCAGAGUUUCGUCAGCAAUUGCGAUUGGUUCGCAUCCGGUUUUCUUCCGUCGUUGCGCCGCCGCCUCACCCGCUCAAUUCCGGUGAAACCGGUGGGGUUAUUAUGUUGUUUUAAAUGCAAACUUUGUUUUUGUCCACUCACAUAUUUUCUGUUUUGCGCCCCUCAGCCAGUAGUCGCUCAAGGAGAUUUGCAAGCCAUGUUCGAGGCCAUGUAUCGUGAACCGCUGUAGAUUAGGCUUUGAGUAAUUUUUUUCUACUCAACUUGUUCUUGUAAAUUAAAUCUGUUAGGUGCUCUGUUAUUGCCCAUGUUAGGUUUUACUUGAGGCCGGAGGCCAUUUUACUAUGUUCUAUUGUAUGUUGAAAGCAUGCUGCUAGUUGAGAUUAUUGUUUUAUGAGCUUGUUGUGCAGGUGGAUUUUUGUUGGGAUUGUUCAAUUUACCAGGGAGACUCUGCCAAAAUUUUGGUAGAGAGUCUCGGUUUUUAGUAAGUGGGCCCGACAUAGGGGUGAUGUCGGCAAAAAGACGGGAUUCGUCCUGGUUUCCGAGGAAUUCCGAGGCAAGUCCUGUCAGGUUGGUAUUGAGCAUUAGGUUUAUUUUCCUUUGACUUUUGCAUUUUGUUGCAUUGUUGAGACUAAUGAUUCUGUGGUUUCUUUGUGUAGAACCAUGUCAGCUCGACGAGCUAGAACGAGGGGUCGCGUUCCUAGAUGGGGGCUGAAUCCGCCACCUCCAUCUCCACCUCCACCUCUACCACCACCUCCAUCACCACCACUACCUUCACCUCCGCCAUCUCCACAUGCUGGAGAGCAAGCCAGAGAAAAUGCUUUAGACUUCCGGCAAGUGCUCAGUUAGUUCACCCGCACUAUGACUACGGCCUUGCAGGGGAGGCAUAACACGGAGAGUUCGGAAAUAAAAAGGGUCAAGCAGCUAGGGGCAAGGGAGUUCCUUGGUGGUGCAGACCCAGCUGAAGCUGAAUCUUGGCUCUCCGAUGUGGAAAGGAUAUUUGAAGUGCUACAGUGUCCAGACAGUGACAGAGUCCGCUUGGCCACUUUUCUGCUGAAGGGUAAUGCAUAUCACUGGUGGAAAGCAGUCAGAAGAGGUUAUGGAAAUCAGGCUGCCAUUACUUGGGAGGAAUUUCGGCGGGUCUUCUUCGAACAAUUUUAUCCACGGUCCUAUCUAAAUGCCAAGAAGUCCGAAUUCCUAUAUCUGAAGUAGGGAGCCAUGUCGAUGUUGGAGUAUGAGCAUAAAUUUAAUGAAUUGUCUAGAUUUGCACCCGAACUAGUAGCCACCGAAAAGGAAAGAUGUAGACGCUUUGAGGAGGUCUAUGGUUGGAGAUCUAGGCAGUGGUUACUGCCAAUACUUACCCAAACAUGAGGGCUUUGGCCUAGGCAGCUGAAAGGGUGGCGAGGAAACUCAGUGUGAGUGCUGGCAGACGUCGCCGAGAUGCAUCAAGAUUUGGUGGGCCUAGUCAAGGUCCAUCAAAGAGGGGAGGAUCUAAUUUUGGUUCGGCUAGUAGUGGAUGGUCUGGAGGACGUGGAUCCAAUUUGGGUAGUGGGAGAUCAGGUUCUCGACCGCGUGGAAUCAAUAUUCUGGACAGCAGUCUACAGCCAGCACAGCCAGGGCUCCUUCAUGGCAGACGGGUUUGAUGUGCUAUAAUUGUGGGCAAAUCGGGCACUUUGCAAAGGAUUGUCCUAGCUACACUUAGGGAGGUGGACGGAAUCAGGGCAAUAGCGCGACUUGCUACUUUUGUGGACAAGUGGGGCAUACCAAGAGGAGCUGCCCAACUAUAUUCCCCAGAGAGACAGGAGUUCAGGGGACUGAAGCCUAGCAGAGGCAAGGUGGUAUGGGUCAGAACCAAAGUUAGAGUGGUGCCUCUUCCUUAACAGCAGGAUCAUCCAGUAGCGGGGCAUGGUCAUCUUCUAGGGGCAGGGGUGGUAGACACCCAAGGGGCCAGCCUGGAUGUUCUACUACUUAGGCUCGAGUGUUCUCAAUGACCCAGCAGGAAGCCCAUACCACUCUGGAUGUGAUCACUGGUAUGAUUCCUAUCUUUGGCUAUCUUGCACGUGUUCUAAUUGACCCGGGGGCCACACAUUCAUUCGUAGCACACAACUUCGUACCGUAUGUCAGUAUUAGACCCACACCCUUGACAUGAAGUUUUAGUAUUUCUUUACCUACGGGGGAAGUUCUGUUUGUGGACUGGGUGUUUAGAAAUUGUUAUGUCCAAGUAGGCGAUGCAUGGUUGGAAGCUGACUUGAUUCCUUUAGAUUUGGUGGAUUUUGAUAUUAUAUUGGGGAUGGAUUGGUUGAAGAAGCAUCAUGCAUCAGUGGAUUGUUUCCGGAAGGAAGUAAUGCUUAGGAGUCCAGGACAACCUGAAGUUAUCUUUCGUGGGGAGCGUGGAGUUCUCCUUACCUGUCUUAUUUCCUCUAUUACAGCUAAAAGGUUGCUCAAGAAAGGAUGUGAAGGAUAUUUGGCUCAUAUUAUCGACACUUGAGAGAUCACCUUGAAUCUGGAAGAUAUCCCCGGUGUUCAAGAUCUCCCAGAUGUCUUUCCAGAUGAUCUCCCAAGUUUGCCCCUUAAAAGGGAAAUCGAAUUCACUAUCGAACUUAUUCCAAGCACCAACCCUAUUUAUCAAACUCCUUAUAGGAUGGCACCAGUCGAGCUACGGGAGUUAAAGACUCAGUUGCAGGAACUGGUUGAUCUGGGGUUCAUCCGACCCAGUGUUUCUCAGUGGGGUGCACUAGUGUUGUUUGUGAGGAAGAAAGAUGGGACCAUGAGGCUAUGUAUUUAUUACUGGCAGUCAAAUAAGGUGACAGUACGUAAUAGGUAUCCUUUGCCUCGAAUUGAUGAUUUGUUCAAUUAGUUGAGGGGUGCUAAGUAUUUCUCUAAGAUUGACCUAAGAUCAGGGUAUCAUCAGUUGAGGAUUAGAGAAGAGGAUGUUCCCAAGACGGCCUUCAGAAUGCGGUAUGGUCAUUAUGAAUUUUUGGUGAUGCCUUUUGGACUGACGAAUGCCCCAACAGUAUUUAUGGAUCUCAUGAACAGAGUGUUCCGACCGUACUUGGAUCACUUUGUAAUUGUGUUCAUAGAUGAUAUCUUGGUUUACUCCAGGACGCUAGAAGGGCAUAAAAAGCAUAUGAGGUUAGUAUUGAGGACUUUGAGGAGGAAGCAGCUUUAUGCUAAAUUCAGUAAGUGUCAGUUCUGGCUAGACAGAGUGGUAUUCCUCGGACAUGUAAUUUCAGCUGAAGGGAUUUAUGUGGACCCGUAAAAAGUAGAGGCUAUUGUGAAUUGGGUACAACCCACAAGUAUGAUGGAAGUACGAAGUUUUCUGGGGUUAGCUGGCUACUAUCGUCGAUUCGUGGAAGGGUUCUCUUUGAUAGCAGCGCCUCUCAGGCAGUUGACAAGGAAAAAUGUUCAGUUUGUGUGGACAGAAGAGUGUGAACAGUGCUUCCAGGAACUAAAGAAACGGUUGACCACCACACCUGUUUUGACUCUUCCAGACAACUCGGGAAACUUUGUGAUCUACAGUGAUGCAUCUUUAUAAGGCUUGGGAUGUGUUCUGAUGCAACAUGAUCGGGUGAUUGCUUAUGCCUCUAGGCAACUCAAGAAGCAUGAGCAGAAUUAUCCUGUCAAUGAUUUGGAACUUGCUGCGGUAGUGUUUGCUCUCAAGAUUUGGCAUCAUUAUUUGUAUGGUGAGACAUGUCAGAUUUUCACGGAUCACAAGAGCUUCAAGUACCUUUUCACUCAGAAGGAAUUGAAUAUGAGACAACGGCGUUUGCUAGAAUUGAUCAAGGACUAUGACUGUACAAUUGAGUAUCAUCUAGGCCGAGCUAAUGUGGUUGCAGAUGCACUGAGUAGGAAGACUACUGGAGACUUAGCUCAUCUCAGAACGGCCUAUCUUCCGUUGUUGGUGGAACUAAGGAAGGAUGGAGUAGAAUUGGGAAUGAUUGAAAAGGGUGGAAUCCAUGCUAGCUUGCAUAUGAGACUGAUCCUGGUGGAGUGGGUAAUUGCAGCUCAAUUGGAGGAUCCGACACUCUGUAGGAUAAGGGGAGAAGUAGAAAAUGGUACACGAACGGAUUAUGCCAUAAGAGAAGAUGAGGCUUUGGUAACUAGUACUCGUCUUUCUGUGCCUAAGAACAAUGAUGACCUGAAAAGAGAAAUCAUGGAAGAAGUUCACUGUUCUGCUUAUACUAUGCAUCCGGGUAGUACCAAGAUGUAUCGGACGCUACGGGAACAUUAUUCAUGGCCGCAUAUGAAGGGAGACAUUGCCAAGUAUGUUAGCAGAUGCUUGAUUUGUGAGCAAGUGAAAGUAGAGCGACAGAAAUCAUCAGGACUUAUGCAACCACUUCCGAUUCCUGAAGGGAAGUAGGAACAUAUUACCAUGGAUUUUGUUUUCAAGCUUCCACGUACUUCUAAGGGACAUGAUGGAAUUUGGGUGAUAGUUGAUCGACUCACCAAAUCUGCCCAUUUCCUACCCAUCAAGGAGACCUAUUCUUUGUCAAGGUUGGCGAAACUUUUUGUGGAAGAAAUCGUGAGGUUGCAUGGAGCACCUGUGUCCAUUGUAUCGGACAGGGAUGCUAGGUUCACUUCUCAAUUCUGGAGGUGUUUACAGGAAGCUAUGGGUACUAAGUUACAAUUCAGUAUAGCUUUUCACCCACAGACUGAUGGGCAAUCGGAAAGGACUAUCCAGACUCUAGAGGAUAUGUUGAGGUCCUGUGUGUUACAGCUUAAGGAUGCGUAGGAUAGUCACCUUGCCUUGAUAGAAUUUGCCUAUAAUAACAGCUAUCAUUCAAGUAUUGAGAUGGCUUCAUAUGAGGCGUUGUAUGGGAGGCAGUGCACAACUCCUAUUUGCUGGAAUGAAGUGGGUGACAAGAAAUUGGAAAAAGUGGAUAGUAUACGGGCGACCACCGAGAAGGUGAAAAUGAUCAGAGAGAAAUUGAAGGCCGCCCAAGACCGAUAGAAGAGUUAUGCAGAUAACAGGUCUAAGGAUCUUGAGUUUGCAGUUAGGGAUUUGGUAUUCUUGAAGUUAUCCCCGUGGAAGGGUGUGAUGAGGUUUGGGAAACGUGGGAAGUUAAGCCCUCGUUAUAUCGGACCUUAUGAGAUCACAGAGCAGAUUGGACCUGAUGCUUAUAGAUUGGCCUUACCCACUGAACUAUCCCGAAUACACGUCAUGUUCCAUGUAUCUAUGUUACGGAGGUACAUGCCAGAUCCUUCCCAUGUUUUGGAGCAUCAACCUAUAGAGUUGAGAGAGGAUUUGUCAUAUGGGGAGCAACCUGUACAGAUCCCGGAUAGGAAAGAACAAAUGUUGCGCUCCAGAUCCAUUCUGUGGUAAAGGUUUUGUGGAGAAGCCAAACUGUGGAAGAAGCUACAUGGGAGCCCGAGGUGCAGAUGCGGGCCAAGUACCCUUAUCUAUUCUAUUGACAGGUAUGUGAAUUUUGAGAAUGAAAUUUUUAUAAGGGGGGUAGAUUGUAACACCUUGACUCUAAAUUUACUUCUUGUUCACCCGUUUUAUGUUUGUUCCUGUGAUGGAAGAGCAAAGUUCCCCAUUAGCUUGGAAACCAUUGAAUGGUCAAUAAGUCCACUUUCUUUGGUGUGCGAGCGUGCCACUGCUAGCAAUAAAAAUUCUAGCAAACUUCCUUAAAACAGAUAACUUGCGCCCCAAGUUAAUGAUUUCUAAACAAGCAAUUGUGAAUUUGGGUGAGGAAUAUCUCCCAAGUAAGUUCUUUUCCUGCCUCAGACAGGUGAGGACUUCACAAUUUAUCUCAGUACAAAAUUUGUAGUUCUGGCUACAAUAAUUGAUAAUAAAGUGGACUGUUUUAGACAGAACUGCCUUGUACAAAACUAGAAAGGAAAAAAUCAACUCUAGAAAGACAGAAAGAAAAGUUGGAGUUCCAUUUCUGCCUGGAUAGAAGUCUCUGAUCCAGGUUGGACUGGGUAAGCAUAUGCUGGACUGAACUAUCAACAACUUCAACUGCUGAGCUUCAGUUGUAAAUCGAUACCAAAGUUUGAGCUUGGCAGAGCUUUAAUUUAUUUCGAGCCCUGAACGGGCAGAAUUGUAGCCUCCUUAGUUUGAAAGGGGCAGAAGUGGCUGAAUUCGAGGAUUUACUGAGCCGAAACUGCACUAUAGUACCUGUUCUGCUUGAUCAGGGCUUUCCAUAAAUUUAUUGAGAUUUUUAUAUUUGUAAACACUCAAACUCUGCUUAUUUUGGCUCUUGCUGAACCAAAUUUGUAACUAGAGACGUCUCGUUUUGAAUGACUUAUUUCUCUAAGUCUGAACUGGAAGUUUUGAUUUAUGGCUGGCUUCUUUUGUGGCUUUGUCUUUGGUUGAUUUUUGGUUGUUUCAUUUGAUUGUCCUUCAACCUGUUCACCCUCUUCUAUAUUUAUAAGAAAUGUUUUUUUUUUGAAGUAGGGUUUCUAAUUCUUUUAACAAUGGGCGGCAAAAACUCUCAAAAGAUCUCUCAUCUUUAAUUGUGAAGAAAAGGGAUUCUAUCAGUUCUGGCAGAUAAGCCAUCAGUGGUCAAGUUUUUAAGACAAUCACUUUCCUGUUUUUCUCGAAAGAGAAUGUAACCCUUCUCUAAUUCCAACUGCCCCCCUGUGUGAGCUCAAACUGUGAUGGUUAGUGUGACUUUCCAUUUGAACAACUCUCUGUUACCUGCUUAUCCUUUUUUGAGAGUAUAGCCUGCGUAUCUUCUGAAAGAUGGUGGCUUCUCUGGAGCAGAAACAAUAUCUCUGAUUUAUAAAAAGAUUUUUGAUCUUUUAGCCCCAGAGUAAUUCCCUGCAAAUGACCUGCUUUCAUUUAAUUCCAAAUAAACUCUUUUGCGGAAAUUGUUGACUUUCUAAAUCGGGUAGUCACGUGGGUUCUAAGAAUAGUCUUUCCAAAACAUCUUGCUGACUCUGCACUCUGGGUUUUUGAGAUCAGUGGUGAGUCAGAAGCUGGGUCCAAUCCCAUUUUUUAUUGAUCUACUUCAGUGGUUGAUUGCCAUUUAAUCUUGAUGUUUUUACAACUCCGCCAGUUUUGUAAAAGACAUGGGCCUUCUGAUUUAGUUUUGGGUCUCCUCUUAUCUUUCGAAUCAAAGCCUAGUCCUCUGUUUUUUCUGUUUUGUGGGCCUUUGUGAAAAGUGGGCUGGCGUGCGUGGAUUUCUUUUUGGCCCAAACAAUGCCCCCUUAAGUCUGAAUCGUUUUAAAACGGUUUCAGACUUAAGGAUUGGCCAAUCAAUGAUGCGCGCCAUUUCCUGCCAUUGCACUAGCGCACGUCUGCCUAUUCGAUUAGGCUUCGUGGGGAAAUGGGUUCUAACGGCUAAUUAAAUCUGAGCAAAAACUCCUUCCUUCCUACUCUCCAAUGAUCUUCCUGCUCAGUUUAUAAAAUUCUUGCCGAACUUCAUUACUGUUCAUAAAAACCUAGCUCUGUCUCAGCUUUCAUUCCUUUCGAGACCUUCUGUUUUUUUCGGUUUUGUUCCUUCCAAUCUCCCUCUGUUCAUCUGAUUUCUGGAGAAAAGAAAAGAAAGAAAAAGAAAAUGUCUUCCCCAAACACUCGUGCCAAGAGUUCCUCUUCUUCGUGCUCUCCUGCAUUCCUUACUGGAGAUGGUGUUGAUAACCAUGCGAUAGAAGUUCGAAGCAGGCUGCAUCCUUUUGCGCAAAAGAAUCUGGACGAGAAUGUACUCCAUCUUUUCGAGAACACCCUUGUUCUGGGUCCUCAUUGGUUUGGUCCUGUACUGAAGGAGAUGACCAUUUUAUUCAAGGAUGAUGCUGAGGCCCCUCUGUGUCAUCAAAGUUCUACUUCUCUGGCCUCCUAUACCUGGGUUAGCAAGAAUCUGAGUCGCUCGUUUCCUUCAAGUGAAGUGAGGAAUAGCACAGUGAAAUGGUCAGACUGGAUUGAUAGGCUUCUUCCAAGGCACGGAGCUCAUUGGAAGAGGGCUGGUAUUUAUGAUGCAAUUCUUUUGUCCAGGCAUUCUAUUAACGGAGAUGAGAACCUUAUGGCUGCUGCUCUGUGUUUCUGGAAUUCUACCAGUAACACCUUUGACUUCCGUAUUGGCCCAAUGUCUCCAACUCUGCUGGACAUGGCUCAAAUUUUUGGUUUUAGGCCUUAUGGAAGGCCUGUGGAUGCAGUCGGAGAUUAUCACAUAAGAAAGAACCAAGAAAAAUUGGCGAAGCCCUUCAUUAUCCCUUCUGCCGCAAUUAACCAGAACUGCUCAUUCUCUAAUUACUUGAAGAAAUUUAGCUUAGAGAAGGACAAGGAUCAACAGCAUAUGCUGUUUCUUCUAUACUGGUGUUGAAAUAAAAAAAUUCAUUGACAGCAAAUUAAAUAUUGGCCCAAGUUUAAAGAAGUUGGGCUCAUAGCUAAAAUGGUUUUGUGGACUUGUUGCUAAAUUGUUUUAGGCCCAAAUGAAUUAAUAUUAAUAUUUUUACAAAGAAAAUAUUAACGUACUAAAAGCAGUAUCAGAACAUGUACGUUGAGGGGGUGACUGUAAUGGGAAGUUACUCCCACCCACACAAUACGUGAGGCCAUAACUGGCUCCACUAUGUCAGUUCCUCUAAGUCUAUAAAAAGGGACUAAAGGAGGCAAAGAACACAAAAGAGAAAAAGCACCAAAUUGCUGCAGAAAUACACAGAAGAGAAAAAAACACCGAACUGCUACAGAUAUCCAAAGAGUAUAAGCAAGAAAAAGAGAUACGAAGCUCUGUCACAAUACCACUAAGAAGGUAUAAACAAAUUCAUUUAAGUAUCCUUUAUGAACAAUUGACUUGCAGGUAAAAAAAUAUGUAUGUGAGGCCAUUGUACAGAAGCCUGAACUUCCUCCAUGUUUAAUAUCAAGAAAUGUAUCAUAUCAACAGAGACCUUAGCUGGGGAAAAAUGUGAACAAAUCCUCCCAAAUUGGCAAUAACUGUGCUACUUACACAAAGAGACACUACUACAAAAAGUGAAAAAGACGACCAGAAAACAACGACGGUCUAAGUGAAAACCGUCGUGGUUUAUAAAAAGACGACGGUUCUAAAAACACCGUCGUGUAAUACAACCUUAGACAACUAAAAAAUGGAGAUUCAAAUGGCUGUUAAAAAACAACGACGUACAUAAUUAAACAACCGACGUCUAUUUGAAACAGAUUUCCGCAGUGUAAAAUCAAUGCCAACAAAGAACGGCAGAAGUUAUGAAUCGACCGACGUAGAAAGUAAAGACGACGAUUUCAAUAAAAACUGCCGUUUUUACUCAUAAAAUAACACGACGAGGUUUUCGUAUAAGACGCCGUAUAAUUACAAACAAAUCCACGGCUUUAAAAUACAAAAUAUCGCCGUAUUAAAUUAAUUUACAACGACGGAAAAUAUAAAUAUAUCGACGUCAUUAUCGUAUAGUUCUACGACGUUAUCUUUAAAUCGUACAAUAAAAUUUAACGUCGUAUUUAUUCAUUUUAUACGUCGUACCUUUAAUUUUAACGGUCGUCUUAAUAAGAAUUUUUGUUAACAAUUUUUUUCUUUGAUUUUCUUAUCCUACGUCGGUAGAUCUACUUAAUGACAAGAAUUGAAAUAACCACGACGGUUUAUAUAGAACACCGCCGACAUAAUCAGAUUUGUCUGAGAUCCCAAGGGUUACGAAAUCUUACCAGAUGGAACUCUGUUCCACAUCAUAAUCUUAACAGAUGAUACAGAUUUGCAAAUAUUGCGUCGUGUUAGUUUACAAAUUCUAGAACAUUAAUUUCCCUCAUUUUAAAUUUCCUCGGGAAAGAAAAAUCUAUUUAUCACGCUUUGUAAUUGAAAACUAAAACUGAAAGAAUACGGGAAAAAAAAACUCUAUUUAUAAUUUAAAAAUAAAAUCCACGUCGGUUGUAGUACACUUAACGACGUUUAACAAAAUAAUCUACGUCGGUAAUUAUAAAUCUACCGCCAUCUUACCUUAAUAUAAACGACGAGAAAAGACGACGGUAGAACAGAAAACCGCCGUUGUUUCAGUUUCUUUAACAGUUUGGUCCUUUAUCUUUCUGCAGGACUUGUAUAGUUCAAAGCAUUGACAAUGUCUUCAUCAUAUCUCCCAGCAACUACUGAUUCAAUUGCUCAUGCUUUAGAGGCCAUCUGAAGCCAUUUCUAUUCUUUAUCGCAUUCUUGAAACCCAUCUUCUUCUUCUGAAGCUCUACGGAUAAAGGAAGAGGCUAUCACAAAUCCGACGGAUCUUCUUAGGCAAGAAAAUCAAGCAGAGGAUCAGGCACAUCUGAUCUUUAGAUUUCCCUGAGAAGCGAACUUUCCUUCGACAGCGAGUGGAGGCCAGGCUUGCAUCUCUUUUGAUGGAAAGCAAGGAGUAUUCAGAAGCACUAAGUGUCCUAUCAGGCUUGAUCAAGGAAGUGAGAAGGCUAGUUGACAAGCUUCUUCUUGUGGACAUAUAUUUGAUGCGAGUAAGGUCAAUUUUUCUUUGAGAAAGACAUCCAAAUUAUUGUCUUUGAGACGUGAGAGACUGAGAGAGGAAGAACUUGGAACCUUAAAUGUAAACCGAAAAUGAAUGAAAGCGACAAAUUUAUAGAAUAAAUUUUUAAAACCAACGGCGGUCCUUACAAAAAAACCGCCGUUUAAAUUGUAAAAUCAACGUCGGUAUUAUCGACGUAUAUUACAGAAAUCCACGUCGGUAAAUUAAUAAAAACGACGUGUUAAAUAAUCUACCAUGACGCGAGUUAUUACUUAUGUACUUUAAUUUUUGAGUUUACUACGACGGUACCUACAACACUACUGUCGUAUUUAUUUACCACGUCCGAAGUUAAAUGUACCGUCGUAUUUUGUAAUUUAUACGUCGUAGUUAUAUGUAACCGCCGUAUUAUUUUUUUGAAAUGGUUUAUAUGUAAGCAACUUUUCGUCUACCUGACAUACACAUGCGCUGUUUCCAAACCCGAUUAAAAAGUUCAAUCUCCCAGAGAAAACUUUUAGACUUUUUUCCUUGUCAGAGCACUGUCAGAGUAUCUCAUCGUCUUCCUCUCGUCUUCUUCGUCGUCUCUGAACUUAAACAUAAUCUUCCUCUUGCUUUCAUUGCACGCAAAAGGUAAGCUUUCAUUUUCACUAUUUUGGUUGCUGUUUUGCAUGCUCAUACGUUUUUUGUUUGAAAAAUCUUUUUACCUUUUUUCUGGCCAAAAUCAUUUUACUUCUUUCCAAGUUCGAUAAAAUAUACAGACAAAGAGGGAAAGUUUCCAACUUUGAAGACAACUACCUCAACUAAAUAAGACGACGGUAGCUUCUUAUGUACGUGGUUAAAUAUGUAGACCACGACGGUUCGUCAGUCGUUCUAGCGUCGUCUGAAAAUUGACAAAGUUGUUUUUAAAAUUAUAGUCUUUUUUUUAUUUGCUUGUUUAAUUGCGGGUUUGAUUUCUCUGAACAAUGGUUUUUGUUUUUCCCUAAUUUGAUAAAAUAUAAAGAAAAAGAAAGUAGGGUUGGUAUCUAAUAUAGACGACAGUAUCUUAUUGUUUUACGUCGUGUGAAUGUUAAUACCACGACGUCAUAUUAAAAUACCGUCGUCUAUAUAAGAUUCCAAAACUUUCUUUCUUGGCCUUGUAUUUUAUCAAAUUAGAAAACAAAAACCAUGGUUCAGAAAAAUCAAAUCUGCAAUCAAACAUUCACAGAGAAAGAAAGAAGGGUUUUGGAUCCUUAUAUAGACGACGGUAUAUUACGACUGACGUCGUGUGAACAUCAAUACCACGACGUUAUAUAAAUAUUUCGUCGUGUAUAGUUAAUUAUCACGUCGUUUAUAGUUAAUUAUUUCGUCGUUGUUUAAUUACCUUGGUUUUAAACAUUUAUUACGUCUGAGAUUAUUUCAUUGCGUCGUUUAAAAUCAUAUCAUACGUCGUAUUUUAUUAAUAACUGUCGUUUGUGUUCUUAAUCUUUUCCUGAAAUAUUUUCACUUGCAGUUUUGUCUGUAAAAAUGGUUUCUCACCAAGACCAAAGUAAGGAUUCUGGCUCCAAGAAAAAUGGAGGUAAGGACCUUGGAAUGGUACCUCCUCAAGUGAAGCCUUCGAAGAAGAUGAAGUUUGCUUCAUCAUCUGCUGAGACAGAACGAACCAGCACGACAACAAUCUCUGAUGAUUCAAAGUCUGGUCGAGGUAUGAGCACAAUGCCUCGUGUUGUGAAGAGAAAACUUCAGAAACUGAGGCCAAUUGUUGAGUACAAUAAAAGGGGGAAAGGAAUUGGCCAAGCACAUAGUGAGAUGCAGUCCUACAUUGGUGUGUUGGCACGCUCCAGAGUUCCACUUGUGGACAUGAAAUGGGCUCAAAUCCCCAAGGAUAUAAAGGAGCAGAUUUGGGAAGCAGUUGACCUUGCUUUUGUGGUAGGUCAAGGGGGCAAGAGCUCUGUGUUAGCUUCUGCUGCCAAGAAAUGGAAGGAUUUCAAGUCUACACUAACGAGGCAAUAUAUCCUUCCAUACACCAAUGACAGGGAGAGAUUAAGCCAACCCCCUGAAACAUAUAAAUUCAUAGAGAAAGCACAAUGGGAUGCCUUUGUAGCUUCAAGGUUAUCCAAAGAUUUUGAGUCUGUGCAUUCUCAACAUGCACAGAUUAGGGAGAAACUCGAGUACAAUCAUCGAUUGUCUCGAAAAGGAUAUGCUGGUUUGGAGGAUCAGUUGGAGGAAACCAUGCCUGGGGUAGAAAUUGAUCGAUCUACCUUAUGGAAGAGAGCUAGACAGGACAAACAUGGUAACAUCCCUGAUCCAAAGGUGGCAGAGAAAGCAAAAUUAAUUGUAAGCCUACUCACUCUGUUUUAAAUUUUUAUUAAACUGUGAAUAAUUCUUAUUACGUCUUAUGUUAUAUUUUGCGUCAUGUGAAUGAUAUUACCACGUCGACAUAUUUUAAAAAACGUCGUUAAAGGUCUAAAUCAGGAAUCACAACUCUGUUUUCUGUAAUUAUAGCAUAAGAUGUCGGUGGUUCAUUUUCGCGUCGUCUGUAGUAAAUUACUAGGUCGAAAUGUUUUAAACAACGUCGUUAAAGGUGUGAAUAUUGAAUCAUCCCUCUGUUAUCUGUAAAUAAAGCAUAAGACGUCGGUGGUUUAUUAAUUUCGUCGUUUUAAAAAGAUAACCACGUCGGUAUAACUACCGUCGUGAUAAAUUAUAAUAACGUCGAUUUAUAUGUUAUUGCGUCGUGUGAAAUUAUAUAAUACGUCGUUUGUAUAUAAAUAACUGUCUCGUGUGUUUUUGUUCUUACUUUUUUAUAUAUCUUUGUUUUAGGAUGAAUUGCAAAAACAAGUCUCGGAAGGCAAAGUCACUGUUUCUGGCAGCAAUGAUGUGCUGACCAUGGCUUUGGGCCCCGAGCAUCCAGGCAGAGUCAGAGGAGUAGGUGCUGGGAUCUCACCAAGGCAAUAUUUCAAUUUACCCAAACCACAGAGAGUGAGCUUUGACGACCGUUUGAAGGACAGUUUAAGAGUUCUCCUUCAAGAAGAGACUAAAAAGAUGGAGGCUAAGGCAAGGGAAGAGGCUUUAAGGAUGGAGGCUAGAACGAAACAAUUGGUAGAGGCUGAGAGGGAGCAUUUCCUGAGUCAGCUUUCUCAAUUAAUUCCCAAUUUUGAUCCAAGCAUGCUUAAACCCAGAAUUAGCCAAAGUCCCAAAAAUCCAAUGUCUGACAAAGCAAGCUGCUCUGGAGGUAAUGUGAGAUCCCAGCAUUUUGAGGAUGAUACUGCCAAAAAUGGGAAACAUCAGGAAGGAAAGGUAACAUAUCUGAACUUUGAAUUCUCUGUUUUUUUUAAAACCAUUAGACGUCGUUAUUAUUAAUAAAACCGUCGUUUGUAUUUCAAUACCACGUCGUUUUUAGUUUACUUGUUUUACACGCCAUUAAACGUCGUUAUUUUAAAACUUUGUGGUUUUUGGACGACGGAGUUAGUCAUUCCCGACGUAAUAGAUGAAGGGAAGACAGAAGAAAAACAUGAUGAAAAGGAGAAAGAAGAUGACGACCAGGUAUGUUCACAUAACUUUGCCUUUUUUAUUUGUUUUUCAAAAUUCCAGACGUCGAUAUUUUUCUUUGAACCGUCGUUUGUUUACAACUUAGACGGCGGAAUUUUGUUUAAGACGUAAUAAAUUAUUCACCACGACGGUUUCUUCAGACGACGUUUAAAUUAUUUUCAGACGACGUUUUAUUCCUUAAACCGUCGUUUUUAUUGAAUUACCACGUCAUUUUUUUUAUUUCUUUAAACAGGUUAUUAAAGUUGUUGAUUAUUCAAAUAUGGAGGCGCCAUCUUCUUUAAACUCCCUUUGUCGUUAUGUGGAAACGACACUCGUGCCUCAGGAUAAGACCCUGCACUUUACAAUUGAUAAGGAGGUGUUUGGUCUAGAGCGCGAUACCUUCCUCCUGCCUGAAGAUAUUACACAAUUUGCAGGCAUGGAAGAAAUAGGAGCCACUGUCAUUGCUGUAUAUAUGAGGUUUGUCAUUCUAAAAUAAUACGUCGUUGGUGUAUUUAUUGCGUCGUCUUAACCAACUAACCACGUCGUUAGUAUAUCAUAACGUCGUUGUCUAUUUCAGUACGUCGUGUGAAAUUUUAUAAUACGUCGUUUUGUUAUACAUAACCGUCGUGUUUUUUUUGUAUAUAUGAGGUUUGUCAUUCUAAAAUAAUACGUCGUUGGUUUAUUUAUUUCGUCGUCUUAACUAACUAACCACGUCAUUAGUAUUUACCGUCGUGAUAAAUAUAUUAUAACGUCGUUGUCUAUUUUAGUACGUCGUGUGAAAUUUUAUAAUACGUCGUUUUGUUAUACAUAACCGUCGUGUGUUUUUUGUGCUGACUUGUUUAUAUUAUUUUAUAUAUUUAGGCACUUGCACGAUGUUUUGAAAAGAGCAAAUAUGUGCAAUAUGGUUGGCUUUAUCGACCCUGCUACAGUUAGUGCCAGCUCUGGCACAAUAGCUGACAGAUCACGCCUACUGGCAGCUCGACUUCAGAAGACUAACGGUGAACAGAUUUUCCUGAUGCCUUACAAUCCAGGGUUAGUCUCCUUAACAGGAUUUUGUUUUUAUGAUUUUCAAUAAAUUACAGCGUAUAAACUAACCACGUCAGUGUUUUAUUUUAUUGAGUCGUUUGAAACUACUAACCACGUCGGUAGUUAUUUAUCGUCGUGAUAAAUGUAAAAUGUCGUCGACUGCUACUUUAUUUCGUCGUGUGAAAUAUUAUAAUACGUCGUUAUUGUAAAUAACCGUCGUUUUUAUAUUAAUUUUGUGCAGCCGUCAUUGGAUCUUGCUGAUUGUAAGAGCUAAGAGAGAAACCGUCUAUUUUCUGGAUCCUCUGCCAGAAAAUCGUUUGGUCGAUGAAGAGGCCAAAAACAUUGUGAACAGUGCUAUAAAAAUGUAUAAUUCUCACAUAGCCAGACCAGGCCGUAAGGCAGUCAUUUGGAAAACUCUGUCAGGCACACCAAAGCAACCCAGCAAUGUCGAAUGCGGGUAUUAUGUGAUGCGCUUCAUGAGGGACAUCAUCAUGGAUCCUUCCUUGGGGUUUGAGAAGAAGGUAAGAAGAAAUUACCUUCAUACAUUUUACGUCGUUUUUUGUAUUAUCAACGACAGCCAUGUAAAAUUACCGUCGUUGAAUAGAUAUAGUACGUCGGUUAUGAAAAAUAUCGUCGUCUGUGAUUGAAUUUCUUUUUAUUUAUAAACCCUAAUAGUCAUUGUUUAUGCAGUAUGCCAAGGGAAAACAGGAAGCGCCAUACCCCCAAGAAGCAAUUGAUGAAGUCUGGAAUGAAUGGUCAGAGUUUGUUUGCCUUCACUGGAAUAGGGGAAUUAUUGAACACUUGAUAUUUAUGUAUAAUGUACAAAUUUUGUCUAUAAUAUAUAAUGUAAAAAUUUGUUGAGGUUUUCUUAAAUUUUAAAAAAAAAACAAACAUACAAAUUGCGUAACCGACGUGUAAUACUUUUCCAAUGACGUAAUAAAGUCAAAAGUCGUCGUUUUUUGUUGUUUCGUUUUAACCAAAUCCGACGUAAAAGGAUAUUUAGACGACGUUCUUUGAACAAUUGAGUCGUUUAUGGUUUACAACGUCUUCAAUUUCUUAAGGGUUCAGGGUAGUACUUUGUAACGACAGCGGUUAAGUCGUGGAAUAUAUAUUUUACGUCGGAUAGUUAAAUAUCCGCCAUGGUUUCUCAUUUAAACGACGUCAUUUUAGCAACUUAGUCGUCUAUUACAAUUUACAACGUCGAAAAUUUAUUAACACCGACGUGGUUUGUUGUUGUGAUAAGAAUAUUUUAUUAUUUUUAUAUCAAAAUAUUCAAAAUAAAUCUAAAAUAAAUCAGAAAAAUGCAAAGUCAACUCCUAUGAAGUCAUUGAUAUAUUUUCUUCCCCCUAAACCUUGAAAAAAUUCAUUUUGAAUAACAAAAAUUUAAAAUGACCAUCCAAAACAAAAUUGUUUUGAUGAGUCAUAAAAUCACUUCUAGUUUUAUGGUUUAGGGUUUAGAGUCUAGGGUUUAGAGAUUAGGGUUGUUAUUUAUUGGGGUUUAUUUUUAAAGUAUAAUUUUUGGGUAGUAUAGGGUAUAUAUUAGGCUGUAAAACCAUAAACCCUUUUAUAAACUUAAUUUUUAAAAUUAUAUAAUUUAGUUUUAAGGGUUUAGGGUAUUAAUUGUUAACGACGGUGGUUGAGUCAUGGAAUACAUAUGUUACGUCGUGCAGUAAAAUAUCCGACAUAGUUUCCACUUUAAACGACGUCAUUUUAAUAUGUAAAUCGUCUAUUAUAAUUUACAACGUUUUCAAUUUCUUAACUUCGACGUGGUUUUUCAGUCGUCUUUAUAUCAAAAUAUUCAAAAUAAAUUUAAAAUUAAUCCGAAAAAUGAUCGUCAAAAUAAACGGCGUUACGUUCAGUGUUUUCGUCGUGGAAUAUUACAUUUACGUCGGUUCUUGUAGAACUUUCGCCAUGGUUUUUCUUUCGACGUUUUAAAGAGCGCGCGCUCUAAAAAUUUUCGCGCGCCCUAAAUUUUUUUAUAUUUGGCUCUUAUUCUUAUACUUCUAACCCUGAACCCUAAAAUUUUCAGAUUUCGUGCAACAUAACAUUCGCUCUCUCACUUCUGCUCUAAUUAAAAGUUGCACUCUCCAGGCUCCGUCGAAUCUGUGAGCUCGUCCAACCUGUAAGUACAAACCCUAUCUUCCCCUUGUAAAUUCAUUGAAUGAUAUUAGGUUGUUUUGUUAAAGGGUUGUAGGUAUAUGCUUUGUGAUCUGUUAAUAAUGUGCUUAUAGGUAUGGGUUCAUGGAUUUUCUCUUUAAUGGGUUCAUGGAUUUUCUGUUUAAUGGGUUCAUGGAUUACAUUAUCUGUUAUGUUGAAUUGGGAAUGGUUUUAAUUUUGUCGGAUCUUUUAAUCACCCUAUGUUAUGUUGAAUUGGGAAUGGAUUUAUUGUUUUCAUGCUUGGUUUCAUGUAUAUGUUGGUUUCUUGCUUGUUUUGUUAAAGGGUUUUAGGUAUAUGCUUUGCGAUCUGUUAAUAAUGUGCUUAUAGGUAUGGGUUCAUGGAUUUUCUGUUUAAUGGGUUCAUGGAUUUUAUGUUUAAUGGGUUCAUGGAUUACAUUAUCUAUUAUGUUGAAUUGGGAAUGGUUUUAAUUUUGUCGGAUCUUUUAAUCACCCUAUGUUAUGUUGAAUUGGGAAUGGAUUUAUUGUUUUCAUGCUUGGUUUCAUGUAUAUGUUGGUUUCUUGCGUGGUUUCAUAUAUAUGUUGUGUUCUUAAUGGGUUUUGGGUUCUUGAAAAUAAACUGAGACACGACGCCUUUUUAGGCAUACGACGACGAUUACACGACGGUUUAUGAAAAAACCGUCGUUGUAUUACUUAUACACGACGGUUUUUUCAUAAACCGUCGUUUGUAUUACUUAUAUUAGACGACGUCUGUUGAAAAUCCGUCGUCUAUAUAUGCCAAAUACGUCUGUUUUUGUUUAAAACCCGUCGUCUCUGUUGUGUAUUACUUGCUAUUAGAUCUUUGUAUAAUCUGCUAUAGUGAUGGUCAUUGCCUGUAUUUUCACUUUAUUAUAGAUAAUAGGUUAUAGUGUCGGAGAUGGAUAAGUCAUGGAUGCACUCGGAUAGAAGAUCGAAGGCAUAUGAGUUUGGGGUGGAAGCAUUUUUGAACUUUGCUGUAGAAAAUCUUCUAACUACAACACAUAUCCGUUGUCCAUGUGUUAAAUGUGUUAAUUUGAAGUUGUUUGGGGUUGGAAUUAUAAGGGAUCACUUAUACUUUAAUGGAAUUGAGCAAAGCUAUAAGAAUUGGACAUUUCACGGAGAACCUUGGGAAGCAACUACUAAUGCUAGUAGAAAUGUUGAAGAAGAUGAUGGCCAUAGUAGGUACAGUUUUGUGUCUGAAGAAAUUGAUAUGGAUGAUAAUGAUUUUGGUGAUUUUGGUUCCGAUCCGUAUGAGUUUGCCAAUGUGAUUGGGGAUGGAGAUCAACCAGUGUACCCUGGUUGUAGAAAGUACACGAAGUUAUCGGCAUUAGUGAAGUUGUAUAAUUUGAAGGCAAAACAUGGGAUGAGUGAUGUCUGUUUUACAGAAUUAUUGAUACUUCAAGGCGAUUUGCUUCCAGAAGGAAAUACAAUACCAACCUCUAUGUAUGAGGCUAAAAAGACUUUGUGUGCAUUGGGGCUGAGUUAUGAGAAAAUGCACGCAUGCCCCAAUGAUUGCAUCUUGUAUAGGAAGGAGUAUGAGGAUUCAACUAAUUGUCCUACUUGUGGUAUCUCAAGGUGGAAGGAAGGCAAAGAUUCAAUCUUGAAAGAGGGUGUGCCAGCGAAGGUGGUGUGGUAUUUUCCUCCAAUUCCAAGGUUUAAAAGGAUGUUUCAAUCACAUGAGACAGCUAAGAGUUUGACUUGGCAUGCUGCUAGAAAAUCAAUUGACGGUCAGAUGUCUCAUCCGGCGGAUUCCCCGUCUUGGAAACUUCUUGAUGAUAAAUGGCCUGAGUUUGGUAAUGAGCCGAGAAACUUGAGAUUGGCUCUUUCAUCUGAUGGAUUCAAUCCCCACAGUUCUCUAAGUAGCAGAUAUAGUUGUUGGCCGGUUAUCUUAGUUACAUAUAAUCUCCCUCCAUGACUGUGCAUGAAACGAAAGUUCAUGAUGUUAACCUUAUUGAUUUCCGGUCCUAAACAACCCGGAAAUGAUAUAGACGUCUACUUGGAGCCUUUGAUUGAUGAUUUAAAAUCUUUGUGGGAUGGGAUUAGAGGAGUGUAUGAUGCACAUAAUGGAGAAUACUUUACACUCAGAGCUGCAUUAAUGUGGACAAUUAAUGAUUUCCCCGCCUAUGGAAACUUAUCUGGUUGUGUUGUUAAAGGAUAUAAAGCUUGUCCAAUAUGCGGCAAUGAUACACCUAGUCACAGGUUGAAAAAUGGCCACAAAAUUUGUUACAUUGGGCAUAGAAAAUGGUUACCAAUCAAUCAUCCAUAUAGGAGGCAACGUGCAACUUUUAAUGGGAAACCUGAAUAUGGCAUACCUCCCGAGCCAUUAACCGGAGAAGAAGUGCUGCAUAUGGUUGAAAAUGGUGACAGAGUUUGUUGGAAGAAGAAAUCAAUAUUCUUUGAUCUCGAGUAUUGGAAAUACCUUCCUGUGAGGCAUGCCCUAGAUGUUAUGCACAUUGAGAAGAAUGUUUGCGAUAGUAUUAUUGGUACAUUGCUGGAGAUCCCUGGAAAAAAUAAAGAUGGGAUUGCUGCUCGAUUAGAUUUAUUGAACAUGGGGGUCAAAACUGAUUUGCAACCCGAGUAUGGAGAAAGACGUACUCGUUUGCCUCCUGGGCCUUGGAAUUUGUCAAGAGCAGAGAAGAGAGAGGUUUGCAAUUCUUUCUAUGGUAUGAAGGUCCCUGAAGGUUAUUCUUCAAAUAUUAAAAAUCUUGUAUCUUUACAAGAUUCAAGACUUCUUGGCCUUAAAUCACAUGAUUGUCAUACCUUAAUGCAACAAUUGCUCCCUGUGGCAAUUUGUUCUAUUUUGGAGAAGCCUGCAAGGUAUGCAAUAACUCGUUUGUGCUUCUUCUUCAAUGCUAUAUGUGCAAAGACUGUUGAUGUUUCCAAGCUAGAUAAGUUGAAAGAAGAUGUAGUAGUUACUCUGUGUUUGCUUGAGAAGUACUUUCCUCCUUCAUUCUUUGAUAUCAUGGUUCAUCUAGUAGUACAUCUUGUCAGAGAAGUUCGUCUAUGUGGGCCACUAUAUUUUAGGUGGAUGUAUCCGUUUGAAAGAUAUAUGAAAGUGCUGAAGGGGUAUGUUCAGAAUCGUACUCGUCCCGAAGGUUGCAUUGCUGAGCGGUAUAUAGCUGAAGAAGCGGUAGAGUUUUGUACUCAGCAUUUAUCUGAUGUUAGUACAGUUGGAGUGCCUUCAAGCCAAAAGAUGGGACUUUCAAAGCCAUUAUCAGGUUGCACAGUGAGCGUAGUUGAUCAGGACCUGUUGAAUCAAGCAUAUCUAUAUGUCUUGGAGAAUACGGAGGAAGUCCUACCUUAUAUCGAGUACGUAUGAGUUUUAUUCUUUAACUUAUUGAUUUUAAAUUAUUUCUUAUGUUUAUCUUCUAUAUUUGGGACCGUAAUGCUUGAAUUUUUCGUGUCAUGUAGGCAACAUAUGAUCCACAUCAAGACUGCUUAUCCAAAAUUUAGAAAGAGAACAAAGUGGCUGCAGGAUAAGCACAAUAGCACUUUCAUUCAAUGGCUACGCUUCAAGGUAUAUGUUGUUGAAUAACAUAUUUCUCUUUUAAUUUUCUUCUUAUUUCUAUGUUAGAUUGAAUUAAGAUAUAUGAUUAAUUUGCAGGUUCAAAGUGAACUUGAGGAAGACAAUCAUGGCGUAUCAGAAAAUUUAAGGUGGCUAGCAGCUGGUCCAAACAUGGCAGUGCCAUUAUAUAGGAGCUAUCUUAUUAAAGGUAUUAAAUUCAAUAUCAAGGCACAAGAUGAUGUGCGGACAACUCAAAAUAGUGGAGUUUAUUUACUUGCACAUACCAUGCAAGUUGCUAGUGCCAAGGAUAAAAACUCAAUUCUCUCAAAUAUGGGUUUCUAUGGUGUCAUUCAAGAAAUUUGGGACCUUGACUACCAAAAGUUUACAAUCCCAGUCUUUAGGUGUGAUUGGAUAGAUAGUUCUGGUCUUGUAGUCGACAAACUUGGAUUUACCCUUAUAGAUUUGAGUAAAAUUGGACAUAGGAAUGACCAAUUUGUUUUGGCUUCUCAAGUCAAACAAAUAUUUUUUGUUGACGACCCGAUGCAUCGUGGUUGGUCGGUAGUGUUAUCAAUGCCUAAUAGAGAAUAUAAUGAUGUUAUUGGUGAUGAAGUCUUAGGUGAUGUGAUAAUUGAGUGUGAGCCAUUUACUAGAGGGAUGCCAAAUGUUGACACAUUUGAUGAACUGGUGGGUGAGUUAGGCGGUCAAAAUAUUCGAGAUGGGUGUGAAGAUAUAUGGAUUGAAUGAUGCUUAUGUAAUUGGCAGUGUAUGACAUUAAUUUUGUAAUAUAUUGUAAUGUGAUUUCUUCACUUUCUACGUUCAAAUAAAACACGACGUUAUUGUGAACCAGUUAUUCAGCAUAUUUACCGACGUCUUAAAGCAACGUAACAAUGAAGAACCACGACGCUAUUGUGAAGCAAUUAUUCAAGAUAUCACGUCGGGGAAGGAUUAAGAACCGCCAUGUAAUUCAAAAUAACACGACUCCAAUCCCAUAAUACCGACGUCUAAAAAACGAGAUAUAUAAUCUGAACGUUAAAAAAUACGACGUCAUCAUACAUUUUCCACGUCGCAAGUUCUUUUAUAAACGAAGAGGAACGAAAUGAAUUCCGACGGUAAUUCAUUAUAACCGCCGUCUAAUAUCAAUUAAACGACGUUAUUUGUAAUACGGCUCUCUCAUCGCAUUUCAACGUCAACUAUAUAAAUACAUACGUCGUAAAUAAUGACACUGACAACUAUUUCCACUUCAUCUUUUUUAGAAAAAUCGAAGUGGAAAAUUUAUUUCACGACGGUUGUUUGUAAAUAAGAGACGUAGUAUAUUUCAAUAACGUCGUCUUCUCAUGUAUUUAAAGACGUCAUAUUUUUUCUUGUCGUGAAAAUUAUAUUUGACGGUGUAGUGUUUUAGUUGUCGUCGUUGUAUGUCUAUCUUGCGGCCUUGUUCUUUUAAUAUGUGUCAUAUUUUUUCUUUUUAACGACGGUGAUUUGUUUGAGUUGGUCGUCUAUUCUCAUCCUCGACUAUUUUUUAGAACUUUAGCAGACUAAACACGUCUGUUUUUAUUUGUUUUCGACGUUGUUUUAUUUAACAACGUCUAAUAUUUAUCGUCGUUGUUUGUUUCAGAAAAUAGGACGUAUAAAUUUUGUAAUACGACUCUCAUAUAUUUGUAACCGACGUUGUUUCGUUGUUCAACGUCUACUCUAUAAAUACAUACGUCGUAAAUAAUGACACUGACAACUAUUUCCACGUCAUCUUUUAUAGAAAAAUCGAAGUGGAAAAUAUAUUUUACGACGGUUAUUUUUAUAUAGGCGACGUAGUAGGUAUCAAUAACGUCGUCUUCUAAUGUAUUUAAAGACGACAUAUUUUUUGUUGUCGUGAAAAUGAUAUUUAACGGCGUCUUAUUUUAAUUUUCGUCAUUGUAUGUGCCAUGUUCUGUUAAUAUGUGUCAUAUUUUUCCUUUUUAACGACGGUUUGUUUAGAGAGUUGGUCGUCUAUUCUCAUCCUCGACUGCUUUUUUAGAUCUUUUUGCAGUACAUAGACGUCGUUUUGUAUUUGUUGAUGACGUUGUAUAUUGUAACAACGACGGUGAUUUAGCGUCGUGGUUUAUGAGGGAAAAGAUGACGGUGGAUUCCACGACCAUUGAAAAACCGAAUACACGACGGUGAUUUACCGUCGUCUUUUUGCUUUUUUGUAGUAGUGAGAGCUCUCACAAGGACCUCUCUGUUGUGAAUUACAGAUGGGCUUUUGUAAGAACCCCACUGUACUAAGUGCUGUGAACACCUUGUGAGUGUCCAUAGGCACAUUGUGUUACUCAGAGAAGACCUUGCGAGUGUUCUUGAGUACCAAAAACAAAAAAACAUCAACAGUUUAGACGCUUUGUUACAUGCUCAACCCACCUUUAGUAGAGCAAAAUUCCAAAUCUGCAGAUUGGAGAAAGAACAGGUAGCAAACGUGCUGCAAAUGGAGAAAAUGAAUUACUCUGUUUUAAUCUCACCCAUUGGCAUAAACAGAAGAAAAUAUAUUAAAGGAGAUGCAGAAAUUACUGAGUGCCAGAAAGCUUACAAAAGCUGAUGAUUCACACCCAUGUUCUGUGCUUCAAAAUUUGCCAACAAAGAAAAAAUCCCCAGCCAGACAGCCCAAGAAAAUUAUUAAGCCAUCACUCCUCUGUAGCAAAUUGCAAAUAUCAUAAAAGCUUCUCACUUUGUUGCUGGCAAAACAUGAAGCAACGCAAAGCCAACACCUCAAUUGGCAGUAUGAUGGCCCUCUCAAAUUAUGUGAGUCUGCAAAGGGAAAUAUGCGAAGCCUUAGAAAUUCCAAUCAAAUUGGAAAUAAAAGAAGGCACAAAGCAUCAGCAAGCAAAAAAACAGCAAAAGAAAAAAUGGCUCACCAAGAAGCCUCCGGUGUUGCGGCUGUUGAAGAACCCAAAAGCAACAUAAGCCAAGAACAAAGAAAGCCUUCCUGUCAAGUCAAUACAAAACCAAAGAUGAUUAUUUUUUUUUUAUUAUCUGAAGGACUCUAAACACAUAAUGGGUAAAGACAAAACCCAUUUUGGUGGAAGUCUGCCACAAGUAUAUAGGAAACAACGAAAAGCCAAAAAAAGGUCAAGCAUGGAUUCGUGGCUGAACUUUGAGAUUAAAAAAUGGGAGAAGCUUCAGCUAUGAAGUUGGUACUACCAAACUCAACAAAAUACACAAAUAGCUCUUUGGCUUGUGCAUGUUGUCUUAGGCAAAGAAACCCAAUUCGUGUUGCACAUAAGGAAAAGAAAGAAGAAAUGGAUUACAGGACCUACUCUAAAAUAAAAGAGGGUUGAGGUUAUGUUAUUGUGUCAGAACAAAAAAACACAGAGUUGGGAAGGCCAAGGAGAGACCAGCAAAAAGAAGGAAGAUGAAAAGAAACAAAAAGACAAAAAGAAGAAAAGUAGCACAUAAAGAAUAAUAAGCUAUGUACUUCUUUUUGGUUCAAAAGCUCUAUAUUUCUUUUGACAAACAGACGAUGCCUUUCAAGUUCCCAGACUUUAAACUAAUAAUUUAAUAGGCUAUAAGGUCUAACUCUGACAGAAAGGAGCAAAGGAAAGGACCAACCUUGUUUUGAUAUCGCUUUGGUUUUGGCGUUUCAAACUCAAAGCUCUGAAGUGAUUAUGGCUAGCGGGUAGCUGAAGAGAUAUAAAAAUUGGUCCAGUUUGAGUUUAAUUUGAACUACUCCGGAUAAAGAUGGGAGUGACUCAGUUUGAAUUGAUCUCUACUACUCCAAAUAGAUAUCGAUUUUGGUUUCAGUUGGCAGCUGGCUCUCAAAGCCUCUCUGACGUGGGCUUUUUGUUUAUGGGCCAACUAAUGGAAAUGCCAAGACCUGAAAACAAAUUGAUGGGUUGACAAAACAAAUUACCCAUUAACUCUCAAAAGCCCAAAAUAUUUUAUAGGUGGUCCAAAUAAAUUAUGUGAUUCAUGGAUUAAUCCUUAAAAACCAUAUGUGAGUAAAUUAAUGAGCUCUUUAAAAUGCCUUUUAAUUUUCUUUGGACAUUAACAAUAAAGAUGGUACAAAACCAUUCCACAUUUUCUCAUGAGUCAUCUGCCCUGCAAAUUUCAAUGAGAUCAAAUUCAAAUCUCUCAAAUAUACAAAUUCUUUCAAAGGGUCAUUUAUUCUUUGAAAGUCCAACCAAAAUAUUAUGAACUACGUCCGGUUUGAUUCCGCCAAGUAUACGUAGGCAAUUUGAAAAUUCAAUCCAGAUACGACCGCAAGCCCAAACAGAAUCCCUGGUGUCCUUAACCAAAUUCGCCCCAAACACUUUUCCAACCACAAAAUCAAAUUGAAUCCCUGAUCCAACCACAUUCAUCCAAAUUUCAUAAAAUAUUUCUCAUACCACAAAUUCUUUCAAGGGGUCAUUCAUUCCUUGAAAGUCCAAUCAAAUUAUGUGAGAACUACAAAAGGCUUGAUCCCCAAAAUGGGGUAUGUAGGCAAUCUAGGGUUCACUGGAUGCAGCCGUAACAUCAAGUAAAUUCCAUUAUUUAUUUCCUUCUUCAUAUUGGAAUCAAAGGGUUUUCUCUUUCCAAAGAGAUUAUAAUUAAGAGAUAUUUUUAUUUUGAAUGGGUCGUACUCAAUUAAACAAUAAAAACUCUUAUUUGUAAAUAAGAGUGAGAUUAUGUUGGGUGAAUUUUUAAUUACUUUAUUACACUUUUUAUCAAACAAUUGGCUGAACAGAUUUGUCUUUCCAAAUCGUUUCUCGGCGGUUUUGCUCGAAUACAGGCACUUGGCAGAAGCACUUCAUAAUCAUACAGAUAUAGGGCUUGGAUCUACAUUUCUGGCUCACCUGUACAAGAACCUGCAUACUGCCGUCCUGGAGAACCCUUUGAACUUGUCGGCUCCUGGUGCAUUCUGGAUGAUCCAGGUGUGGCUCCAAGUAUACUUCCCAGAGCUGAGGUUUCCGGAUGUAGUUCUGCCUGAGGAUCAAGUUCUGGACUUCCUUUGAUGACGGCAGAAGUUCCCAAGCGUUCUAUUGAAGAAUACUUGAUGUUCUUCAGGCACUGUACCAAGAGGUAUGCUGCUCAAUGGCAGGUGGUACUUAGGAGAGCCUAUCUUUGGUUUCAGCCUAGGUACAGGUUGUUUGAGAAAGAGCCAGAAGAAGAAGAAGAAAGAAUUGAGUUUAGGAAGAAAUUCCUGAGUGGUGAUGUUGCCUCGAGAUAUGCCAUUUGGUGGAGGUAAACCGCCCAACUAUCAUCUGGGGGCAGAGGUGUAUCACCCCAAUUUCUGUGCCAGGCGACUUGGCUGCCCUCAGCGGAUUCCUCUCAAAUCAUAUAGGAGCUGCAACCGUGCUACCUCUUGGAGGGAUUCAGAUGAUCUGGACGUGCAUAAGGACUGUAGAUGCUCAGUAAAUAAAAUCAACAAUAGUGUGAAUGCUCUUGACCCAUUGUGGGAGCCUAACUCGUGCAGUUCUGCUGAUUUUGAGGCUUGGUGGAAGGCUAGGUUCUAAGGUUUUUCUGCCUCAAGCACUGCCCUCAAGAUGCUUUUUGAUGGCUGGGAUUCCUGGUUUGUCUACGCAGGGGCAGAGGCCAAGAGUUCUAUGGUGCAGAUGAUUAAGGAUAUUAAUGCCCAAGUUAUUGAAGGUAUAUUCUUUAUUCACCUUUUUUUCUUUUUACUGGUCGCGUCAGUCAUAUUCUGUUUGUUAUUGUGACGUCUAACAAAUCUGUUUUACCCGUAACAGAUCCUUCCAUGACACAGGACAUUGGAAGACAGGCUGCGUAUUCUGGAGAGGUGAUUGGUAGGUUUUCUGAAUUCUGCCUUUCUAUAUUUUCCGGCUGGAUUGCCUUCUAAUUCUUCCUCUUCUAUGCAGUUAAUUCUUUCAUAGCCGCUAGGGACCUAGAGCUUCCUUUUGCAGAUGAAGAAGAUCAGCAUGAAUCCCUGGCAGAACAGUCGGCUGUUGAGGCCACUCAUCUUGCUAGAAGAAAAAGAAAAGAGGCUGCUCCUGCUCAAGACAGUACUAUCCAGCCUGAACCUUCUGGUAAGAUCUUGACCUUUUACCUGAAAGGACCCGCCCCGAAUUUCCCAAAACCAAAGGCAAAUCCUGUGGAAAUUCCCGACAUCACCCCGAUGUCGGGCCCACUUCUAUAGUUAUACCCUUUUUCCCAAAAUGGAAUAAGGGUACGAGACUUUCUGCCAAAAUUUUGGCAGAGUCUCCCCUGUAAAUUGAACAUUUUCCAAAAUUACAACCUGCAUAAAAACACAUUUAAUAUCCACAACUGGCAACAUGCACAAUAUAAUUUCAUGCAAUUCACAUAAACGGCCUCCGACCUUCCAAUAAUUCUCAACUACCAAGCAUGCUAGCAAAUCAAUUCAUGUCUUCAACAAGGCAAACGAUAAAUUCAAAUAUAAAUUAUGACUACUAAAUUUCAACAUACAUCAUCUAUGUCCGCAGUUGCACCUAAUAACCUUAGGCUGCCUACAUACCCUCCCUAAGGGAUCAAGCCACACGUAGUUCUUCUUUAAAACCCAAUUCCACACAUAGGCAAUACCUUAUUUCAUUUCUCUGUAUUUCACAUAAUCUCCCCAUACGCGGAUACUACCAACGCCACGUAUGGGGCCAGUCAACACGCCGGAUAAUCUACGCCACGUGCGGCCAUACCAUACUAUCACAAUAUCUCCCCAUACGCCAGUACAACCAACGCCACGUAUGAGGCCUGUCAACACGCCGGAUAACCUAUGCCACGUGCGACCAUACCAUACUAUCACAAUAUCUCCCCAUACGUCGGUACAACCAACUCCACGUAUGGGGCCUGUCUCAACACUGGAUAACCUACGCCACGCGAGACCUGAACAUCAUAUCAUAAUAUCUCCCCAUACGCCGGUACAACCAACGCCACGUAUGGGGUCUGUCGACAUGCCGGAUAACUUACGCCACGUGUGACCUCAACAUAAUAUCACAAGAUCUCCCCAUACGCCGGUACAACCAACGCCAUGUAUGGGGUCUGUCCGCACGCCGGAUAACCUACGCCACGUUGGACCUAACUUUUACAGGGUGGUACCUAAGGUAGUGCGUAUAGCACUUCAAACUGACAUUCUAGACUCCUUUUAUACCUUUACAAACAUAUAUAAAUAUAUAAUUUACUUCUAAUAUUGUAUGAACCUCAACAAUAGUUUAGCACCCGAUAAUCCCCCUGAGAAAGUGAGAUUACUCCGGGAGACUCACGGUCAACCAAGGGUCAAACUACCAUAACCCUGGUCAAACGGGCCCACGGGGCCCACGACCUCCAAAUUCCGAUCCGAAAGUUCCUAUGGGUCUACAAGGUAUAGGACACUCGUCCUCCAAGUUUGGUUCAGAUCGGACGGUCAGAUCGCUCACGAUCGCACGAUCUGACGGUUAUUAUAAAACAUAAACUUUAAAUUUAUAAAUCGGAACAUCUGGGGCUCCAUUUCAAAAUCCGUGAAAUCCUACACGAUCGAAUCCUACCCAACAGGCAGCUAAAGCAGGAAGAAUGGAUGAAUUUCCAUACCUUGAUCGCCAGAAAUGGCUGCCGGAGGAGGGAGAUCGGAGCCGGCGAAGUUCGAGCGAAAACCGGACAAAAAUCACAUUUUUCCGGCAGCUGGAGUGGCGGCCAAUGUCGGGGAAGGGCUAGGUCGUGAUGCCGAGGCCAAGCCGGUCCUUUUGGCACCGGUCUCGUCCGCAGCCGCGGCCGGUGGCCGGAGAUUCGAGGAGAGAGAGAGAGAGAGAGAGAGAGAGAGAGAGAGAGAGAGAGAGAGAGAGAAAUUUGAUUUUUUAUAAAAAUCUCAUUUCGAAAUAAUUACGAUUGUGCCACUGUGUUUCUUUUGACCAUAUCUCUCUUGUUACAACUCCGAUUCUAGCCCACUACGUGUCUACGAACUCAUCUCAGUACGAUCUAUCCUAAAAUACCAGUUACAGCCCCAAACUCUCUCCGGGUAAGAAAGUGACCAAAAUACCCCUAUCUCAAGGUUAAAUUUGUAAUUUCCCUUAAAUAAUUUAAAUAAUUUAAAUAAGGGGUUUAAUUUGGAGUCGGGGUGUUACAUUACCCUACUCUUUGAAUCUUUCCCGUUUUGUCCAAUUUUCUAACCUUUAUUCUAUGUUAUGUGUAGCUGAAAGCCUUCCUCUACCUAUCACUAGGUCAAAAAGGCCCAGAAAGAGGACUGGAGUCGAGUCUGACGAGAUCGAAGAGCCUACAGUUGUUCCUACUGAAAUUUCUGGAACUGAUGAUGAGUUGUGAGAGGCUUUUGAAGCUGUUGAGCAAAAGAAGGGACAACAAGAAGAAGAAGAUGUCCUUCUGAAGGAGAAGGACAAAGAUUCUGAAGAAGAGGUGAGACCCUAUCACUUUGCUGUAUGAAUUUUUGUGUUUGGUUCUUUCUUCUAAUAUCUGACUUCUUUCAUGUGUAGGAGGAAAUUCCUACUGAGGUAAUAGCAGAAAGUAUUGCCUUGGCCAAACAACAAGAAGAGGCUCAGAGGGCAGAAUCCACAAGUUUAGAAUUGGCUUUAUUUGAUGACGUGGAGGCAGAACAUUCUGCUACUGCCCCAGAGCUUGAGGUAGAGGUAGAACAGUUCAUUGUAGUUCCUGUUCCUGAGGUAACUUCUAGUUUUUCUGUCUUGUCUUCUUUUACCUUGGCAUCUUCUAAUUUGUUGCUCUCUUUUUCAGGUAGCAGAGAACAAGACCAGUCCUUUCAAGCCUCCCAUUAUGGCUGUGAGUAUGUUUGUGCCUUAGUCUUCCUUUCUCUUCCUAUUCUGACCUUGCCUGAAAACUGACUUGAGUUUGUUUUGUAGAUGCCCAUCCAUUCUCUCCCAGAUUCAUAUACCACUGCUUCCUUUGCUGAUCCAGAAUUGGCAGAGUUUGAAGCUAUGGACUUGGAUGCCCAGUUGGACAAACUGGAAAAGCUAGCUCCACUCCUGGCAAGGCAAAAUCCAAGGCCAUGGAUGAGGCGAUGGGUAGAGUGAAGAUCUGGCAAUCCACUAAACUGGAUUUGGAUGAAAACCAAGAAGCUAUUGAUCAACUAAUGAAAUACCUGGACCUACUGCAUAGAGAGAAUAUGGCUCCUAGGCCUAUUCUUGAAAUCAGCCUAGGCUUGGCAAGAGACGUGCUUAAUCUCCACAAUAGCUAUGAAGAUCUUAAGCCUUCCUUUAAAGCCUCUGAGUUCUGCAAGGCCACUCAUGAGGCUAAUCUGGUUGAUUACCAAAAACAGAGAGCAGAAUUGGACUAGAUGGUUGCAGGCUAUAUAGAAGCUAAGACCGCUGCUGAUAAGCUGGAGAAGCAGAUUGAAGAACUUCAAAAACAACUGGUUGGGCUGAGGGAAAGGCAAAACAUGCUUGGGGCUAGACUAGGCACCAAGACUAAGGCCACUUUCCUUGUGCAGAACAUGGUAGCUGCUUCUAGGCCAGCAUUGGAGAUUGCAGAGGCCUCUCUCCAUCAAGGGAUGCUUCCCUAGCAAGAAAUCUCUACCAAGAAGACCGGGUUGCAAGAAACUUUAAAGAAACUGGGACUUUGAAUUUAAAUUCUGAAAAUGUAAUAAACUUAGUCAUGGAAAAUGACUAUAUUUAAUAAAAGUUAUCUUUUGUAGAGCUCUUUUUCAUUCGCAAUUUCCUUUUUCAAGAUAAAAGAAAGCAAAAAACAGUACAAGAAACUUAAACAGUUUCAUCUUGUUCCUUCUCUAUCCCAGGGUCAGUUUGCACAGCUUGUGAAUCCCACAUAGUUGGAUAGAAUUUCUUUAACCACUUGCCAUUGAUUGGUGCAGUAUGGGCCUCCUUAUCUCGAUCCUGUAAUCUGUAUGCCCCCAGUCCAAGGACUUGCUUAAUUAUGAAAGGACCUUCCCAUGUAGGUGACCACUUUCCAUAACUAGCUAUAUGUGUUUUGUCACGUCCCGGGAUCAACUCCGCCGUAGCACGAUAUUGUCCGCUUUGGGCCCCCCUCUCUGGCUCGCACGGUUUUGUUUUUGGGAGCUCAUAAGCAACUUCCCAGUGGGUCACCCAUCCUGGGAUUGCUCUGGCCCCCAACUCGCUUAACUUCGGAGUUCCUACGACUCCGAAGCCAGUGAGCUCCCAAAAGGCCUCGUGCUAGAUGGAUGCGGGUAUGCACAGAUAAGGCACAUUACCCCCUCUCCGUUGGUUGAUGUGGGAUCUUACAAUCCACCCCCCUUAAGGGCCCGACGUCCUCGUCGGCACACUCGCACCACACGGCAGAGUGGCUUUGAUACCAAAUUGUCACAUCUCGGGAUCAACUCCGCCGUAGCACGAUAUUGUCCGCUUUGGGCCCCCCUCUCUGGCCUGCACGGUUUUGUUUCUGGGAGCUCACGAGCAACUUCCCAGUGGGUCACCCAUCCUGGGAUUGCUCUGGCCCCCAACUCGCUUAACUUCGGAGUUCCUACGACUCCGAAGCCAGUGAGCUCCCAAAAGGGCUCGUGCUAGAUGGAUGCGGGUGUGCACAUAUAAGGCAUAUUACCCCCUCUCCGUUGGUUGAUGUGGGAUCUUACAUGUUCCAAGGGGCAAAACUGCUUUCCAGACUAUUUCUCCAUCUUCAAAACUCUUGUUUUUGACUCUUUUGUUGUAGGCCCUUGAUAUAGUUUGUUUUCCUACUAAGAGUUUGUUGAGGGUAUAAAUCCUACUUGCAUCCAAUCCUUCCAGUUCUAGCAGCAUGGCUUGAGAGUAGUCUUCUCCAAUCAGACUAUGUUGAUGAGCAAUUCUGAGAAAUUGGACUACUAUCUCCAUAGGCAGAAUUGCAUCAUGACCAUAGGUUAGAGCAUAUGGGGUCGUGCCAGUUGCUUCUCUCUUUGAAGUUCUAUAUGCCCACAGAGUUUCUGAUAACUUCUCAUGCCACUGCUUUGGAUUCUUCUCAAGUAUUUUUCUGAUGAUGUUGAUGAUCACCUUGUUACUUGAUUCUGCACGUCCAUUAGCUUAAGCAUAGUAAGGAGUGGAUUGAAGUAGCUUAAAUUUGAAUGCUUCUGCUAUAUCUAGCAUCUCUCCAGAUAUGAAAGAAGAUCUCCUGUCUGUUGUGAUUGAUUCUGGGAUGUCGAACCUUUGGAUAAUUUGUUAUUCUAUGAAGGUGAUGAUCUCUUGAGAUGUAAUGGACUUAACAGGCUUGGCUUCCACCCAUUUGGUGAAAUAAUCUGUAGCUACAAUGAUGAAAUAGUGCUGUUUGCUACUGGCUGGAUAGAUCUUGCCGAUAAGAUCCAUUCCAUCCUCUGAAUGGCCAUGGCUUGACUACUAGAUUCAUGGGAACUGAAGGAGCCUGCUGGAUUGGGCCAUGCCUUUGACAAGCCUCACAUCACCUGGAAUAAUCAAUGCAAUCUUUCAUCAUGGUUAGCCAAAAGUAGCCAUACCUUCUAAUUAACCAGCACAUUUUUCUUCCUUCUUGAUGAGCUCCACAGAUUCCUUCAUGGGUUUCUCUCAUAACCUUCAUGUAUUCUUUCUUUCCUAGGCACCUUAGAAGUACCUCAUCCUUGCUUUUUCGGACCAAAUCUCCAAUCCACAUAAGGUAAUUCAAAGCCAUGAUUCUGACUCUUUUUUCAAAAGGCAAGGUUGGAUACUACAAGUAAUUUAUGAUAGGAUUUCUCAAUCAUCUUCAGUGAUUAUGGCAGAAUUGACAUCUAUCUCUAUCCCUCUGGUCAGAACAGAUGGUAGACUUUUCUUUCUUACCUUGAUGAUCCUUUACACAUAGUCUUCAGGCAUUUGUAUGCCUAUUGCUACUUGAGCCAAUUCAUUGGCUGCAAAGUUUUCUUAUCUUGGGAUAUGUUCCCAAGUAGCCUCCCUGAAUUCUGUCAGAAGGUUUCUAGCUGCCACUAGAUAGACAGCUAAAGAAGGACUUAGACAAUUGUAUUCUCCAGCAAUCUGUUUUAACACAAGCAUAAAAUCUCCCAAUAUUUCCACAGAUUGGAUCCCUAAUUCCACCAGCAUUUCUAGGCCAAUGAUCAAAGCUUCAUAUUCAGUCCUGUUGUUAGUGCAUUGGAAGUCUAGCUGGAAAGAAUAACAAUGUAUGAUUCCUAGUGGUUCCUCCAAAACAAUUCCUGCCCCAGAAGCAACAUCAGUUUUUGAUCCAUCAAAGUACAGUUUUCAAGGUGUGAGGUGAAUUGAAUAGAUGGGAUUGUUAAAGCAAGUAUGAGCUCUAGUUAGCAGAUCUGCAUUUGCUAUGUCCAAAGAGUCCAUGUUUUCAAUCUCCUCUCCUGGAUGAUUUGCUAGGAAAUCUGCUACAGCUUGUCCUUUGACAGCUUUAUGAGGAACAUAUCUGAAAGCAAAUUCUGUCAAAGCCAGAGUCCAUUUUCCAAUUCUACCUCUCAACAUUGGUCUUGUUAGCAUGUAUUUGAUCAAGUCUGUCUUGGCAAUGAUGUAGAUGGUGAAUGGUAGCAUCUAGUGUCUGAGUUUCACAGCAGUGAAGUAUAAGGCUAGCCAAAGCCUUUCAAUUGCAUAAUAUCUCCUUUCUACUUCUGUCAGAGUUCUGCUCAAAUAAUAGACUGCCUGUUCCUUCCCUUCUUUGUUAUCUUGAACUAACAGACUUCCAAUGGACACUUCUGAUGCAGACACAUAGUGCUUGAGUGGUCUGCCUCUCUUUGGCGGUGGCAGGAUUGGUGGAUUUGAGAGGUAGUGUUUGAUUUCCUCAAAAGCUUGCUGGUGCUGUUCCUCCCAUUUAAACAUCUGUUCUUGUUUUAAUCUUAGCAAGGAGGAGAAAGGCUGGAUUUUUCCUGCAGAAUUGGAUAUAUAUCUCCUUAGAAAAUUAAUUUUUCCUAGGAGACUCUACAGUUCUUUCUUGUUCCGGGGUGGUAGAGCUUUUACGAUGGAUUUUGCUUUGUUUUUGUCAAUCUCUAUGCCCCUUUGAUGGACCAAGAAACCUAAGAAAUUUCCUGCUUGAACUCCAAAAACACAUUUCUUGGGGUUCAUUUUCAAUUUAUGUUGUCUCAUCCUUAGGAACGCCUUUCUCAGAUUUGAUACAUGGUCUCCCUCUUCUGGGGAUUUAAUCACCACAUCAUCUAUGUAUACCUCUAGAGAAUGCCCUAUCAUAUUAUGGAAAACAAAAUUCAUUGCUCUUUGAGAAGUGGCUCCCCUUUCUUAAGCCAAAAGGCAUUACAGUGUAUUCAAAAGUACCUAUAUGUCUUGGGCACAUGAAGGCCGUCUUAUGGAUGUCCUCCUCUGCCACCAUAAUCUGAUUAUAUCUUACAUUGCCAUUCAUAAAAUACAACAUUUGGUUAUGAGCAGCUCCAUCUACUAGCAUAUCUGCCAUUGCCAUAGGAUAUUCAUCCUUGGGCGAUGCUUCAUUCAGAUUCCUAUAAUCCACACAGAUCCUAACUGCCCCUAUUUUUCUCUUCAGAACUGGCACAAUAUUGGCUAGCCAAUUAGCAUAAAUGGCUGGUCUGAUGAAUCCUACUUUGAGCAAUCUCUCUAUCUCUUCCUUGACUUUUAGUUCUAUUUCCAUAGACAUUCUUCUUCUGGCCUAUUUGACUGGAAGGUAGCCUUCUUUGACUGGCAACUUGUGUUCUACCAGCUUUCUGUCUAAUCUAGGCAUCUCAUGAUAAUGCCAAGCAAAACAAUCUCUAAAAUCAUGCAAAAGUGCAAUGAUUUCACUCUUGAGUGGUUCUUCCAAUAGUGCACUAAUGAAAGUGGGUCUUGGAUCUUCCUCUGCCCCUAAGUUUAUCUCCUGUAAUGGAUCUUCCACUUCUGGUAAAGAGUCAUCUAGUGCUGCUGGUGCAAAAUCUAGUAUUUUCUCCUGCAAACUUUUUUCCUGCUCUUCAGUGCUCUCAUGGGUGAAUUCGGCCAUAUUGAUGGUUGGAUCAUGCAUAAAGAGCUUCAUUUCUUCCCAAUAUAUCAACAAUCUUUUUGUAAUGGAUCGGAUUGUUGCAACUCGAUCCCUCUCUUGUUGAUUAGGACUAAACAUUAGAGUUUUGGAGGUUCAGGACAAAAGGUCUAUUCCAGUCUUCUAGAGAGUUGGCUAAACCGUUCUCAAUGAGUCUUCGGGUUGUGACACUAUGGGGGCGGCCGUUCUGGUUUACUCCAAGAAAUGUGAAAGGACCAAGGUCAUCGUGAUAAUACCUUGCCUCAAAACACAUGGCAGAGGGUAGAAAUGGUCGUGGAUCGGCCUCUACUAUCUCCAUGUAACCUUCUUCAUUCCAAAGAGCUAGUUGCUGAUGUAGAGUGGAAGGAGCACAUAGACUUUGGUGGAUCGAGUCCCUGCCAAGCAAUGCAUUGUAAGUGGUAGAAGUGGUGUCUACCACAAAGAAUGCAAUCUUCAGCUAUUUGGUUCCAACUAUGACAUCCACAUCUAGGAUUCCAUGAGUCUUAGUGAUGCCCCCAGCAAAGUUGGUGACGGUCAAGCGCGUUGGAAUUAGGUCCCUCUCUGUUCUGCCCAUCUUGCUCAACAAUCUGUGAGGCAGAAGAUUAAUGGCUACACCUCCAUCCACCAUUACUUUGGGAAUAGGAAUACCCCCAAAGUUUGCUGUUAUGAAUAGAGGUCUCAGAUGAUUAGCCAUCUCUUUGGUUGGUUUGGAGAAACAAAGUUGUUUUGUGGCCAGUUUCAUGGCCGUUCCGCCUGUCGUGGUAGUAGAUGUUUGCUGUUCUGGGGCCUCCUCUACCUCUGCCAACCUGUACUCAAAACUUUCCUCGGAGAACACGUCUCCUUCCAAAGUAUUUUCUUGCCCUUCGGCUGCCCUGAAUUCUUUUGGCAAGAUGAACACCAUAUUAAUGCCUAAAUCACCCUGUAACAAGCUCUCCAAUUCUGCACCAAAAGCCUCAGUUUCUUCAUCUAAUUCUCCAUUAUAUUCCAUUUGUUCUUCCCCAUAUUCUUCUGUCCAAUCCUCCUGUUUUCCUGCUGCGAGGAGCCCAGUCUGGUCAUCUACAGAUGGUUCAUAGUCUAGCUGUUCUUCUUCAUAUGCUUCAGUCCAGUCUUCUUGUUCUUUUAUUGGAAUAGGUUCAGAUUCACCUUAUAUUUGCUAAGGUUCGAGCUAAUUUACUGAGGAUGAGGUAGGACGAAUGGAAUAUUUGCCUAGAGAUUCUGUUUUCAUCAGCUCUUGUUGCUGAUAUGUUGUUUGUUUUGUCUGGGGAACUAUUUAAGGACUUUCCCCUUUUUUGGCAGAACUGGUCCCCGGAAGUACCUUUGAACUCUCCUCUUUUGAGUUCUGGUAACUCCAGAGUUGGUCUUCCUCUUUUUCCAACAGAAUACCAUCUGCCUUCUAUGAUAGUUGCCAAAGGCUUGUCAUUUUCGGGCAUCUUAAUUGGUAUUUCUUUCUUUGGCUGCUCUGCCAUUGUUUUGCUGUGCUGAGUAGGCCUAAGAUAGUCCCUCUGUCUGGUUCUGUCUUUAGAUGAAACUGGGAUUGGACUCUGUUGGUAUGACGUCCCAAUCUUGUCAAAAACACUGGGUGUGGGCUGACUCUGCCUGUCCAGAGUCACUUCUAACCACUUUCACACUUGCACUUGCUGCACAACACUACCCUAGCCGAGAUGGUUGCCUUUGGCCUUUGACUAGUCUCCUUGUGACUCUUCUGCCUCUGCUGGAGCUAGCUUCUGUUGCUAGUUUGCCUCUCUUCUGUUCUGGCCAAUUUAAGUUGACCAUGUUGACUUGAGGCUGGGGAAAAGGAUGUGUUGUAACUGAGGGAGGUUUGUCCGCCAGUUUUAGCAUUCCUGCUGUUUUUCAUUCCUGUAUGACGUCUCUGAAAACAACACAACUAUUGGUGGAAUGGUUCCAAGAGUUGUUCCACCUGCAAUACUAUCUGCCCUGAAGUUAUUCUGGCUUGGGCAACCUGUGGGGGGGUCUCUAUUGGCUUCUGUAGCAGCAUCUCAUCGAACAAGGCAUCCACCUUGGUCAGAUCGAAGGAAUAGACCUUGUUCAGUAUUAGUUUAUCUGGAACAAACCCUCCUGUGAAUGGCGGCGGCUUCUGGUCCUUUUGUGGCUUCGUAAGAGCCUUGCAGCUAAUGGGAUGUUUCAGCUUUGCCAUCUCUGCUACUGCAAUCUCCCUUUCCUCCCAGCCUUUCGUGUUUUCUUCUGAUUCCACCUCAACAGAUGGACUGAAGAAGAAGGGGUUUUAUAUUAUGUGCCUUUAGAAGAGUUCCUCUUCUGUUGUUCUUCCCUGAGCAGCUCCUCAUAUUUAGAUGCCUUGUUUGCCAGUUCUGCCAGAUCUCCAAACAGCAUCCCAUCAAAUCUCUUUCUCAGAGAGAUUUUAAGGGCGGUUUGAGCCAUCUGGAUAAAGUCAUUUUUAGCUUUCUGAAUCUGGUUAUGAAGUCCUGUGCAAGUUCAUCUUCACUCUGUUUGAGGGCAGCAAGAUCACUAAUGGUCAUGGAAAAUAUUUUCCCUUUGCUCCCAGGUUUGAAAAGUGUUAGCUGGUAGACUGGUAUACCAAGUGAAGACUUGUCCAGAGAGAGAAUUUUCAAAAAGCCUUAGCUUUAACAAAGGGCUAUUUUCUAUGGCUAUGCACUGGACAAAGAACCUGCCUAUAUGCUCAACUGAUGAAGCAUGAGGAUCUUCUCCAUUGAAUAAAGUGAAGUUUGGCACCUUAAAACCCGGGGAUAGAGGUAUCUGAUCUAUGUAAGCCGGGUAUGGUUUUUUGUAGGUGGGCCUUUCUCCUCUCUGGCUCCAUCAUUUCCCUGAUCAUUCUUUGAAGUGUCCCUAUGUCAUUUAAAGCAUUAAUAGGGUGCAGAUUCAGUCUUUGUUCUGGCUGGACGUGGUCAAUCCUGUGCUCUAUUCUAAAUGGCCUGGGCAGAAUUUCCUCCCUGUGUUCUUCCUCUUCUUCAAAAUCCGGAUGAUUCCUCCAGUUUGCCCUGGUCUAUUCCUGUCAUUGUUGGCAAAGGGGUUGAUUCCCCCUCUGCCUCUUCUGCCUCUUGGUGGUGGAGGGAAUGGAUUGGGGUCCAUCCUUCUGGGUCUGUAGGGCAACACAGCUGGUGCCUCAGGCAAAAGUGUCAAGGGUUGAUCACAUGGGGCCACAGGUUGUGGAAUAGGUGGAGGUUCUGGCUGAUUUUGUGGGGGCUGGACUAGUACAGGGUCUUCUGGCCGAACAGGAACUUCCUGCUCUUAGAUGGGAAGGGCUCCUCCCCUGUGUCCAGCUUGGAUAUCUCCAUGGCCUGGUAUUCCAGCUAUCUGUGCUAUGAGAGGGUUUUCCUGGUAUGGCCAUGCCAAUCCUGGUGGAGGGCCAUACUGGAGAUCUAGUUGUUGGACCACUACAUCUGGGUUUUGAAUUCUGGCCAUAGCAGCCUCUCGGUCCUUUCUGAACUGCCUGUUAACUUGCAAUUGCAUCAUGGCUGUCAUGUUGUUCAAAGUAUCUUGGCUCCUCUGUGUUGUAGCCUCCUAUCGGAACACAGCUUCCUUGUAUCUGAUUCAACCUCCUGGAGCCAGUUCUGGAAUGUCUCUCCCGGUACUACAUGGGCUGACUGCCUGGCAUCAUUUUCUUCUGACUCCAGUCCUUCUCGAAGAACUACUUGGUCUCUCUCCAUGGCGUAGCUAGGGUUCUGGCUAAAACUUCCAAUAUUCAUAUGCUUUAGAAAAUUCCUUUAGGAGUAUGUAUAUUAAGAAGUCCCAUUGGGCGUGCCAAAUUGUUCACCCGUUUUGUGUUUGUUCCUGUGAUAGAAGGGCAAAGUUCCCCAUUGGCUUGGAAACCAUUGAAUGGUUAACAAGUCAACUUUCUUUGGUUUGCGAGCGUGUCACUGCUAGCAAUAAAAAUUCUAGCAAACUUCUUUAAAACAGAUAACUUGCGCUCCUACUGAUUUCGAAACAAACGAUUAUGAAUUUAGAUGAGGAAUAUCUCCCAAGUAAGUUAUUCUCCUGCCUAAGACUGGUGAAGACUUCACAAUUUAUCUCAGUACAAAAUUGGUAGUUAUGGCCAGAAUAAUUGAUAAUAAAGUGGACUGUUUUAGGCAGAACUGCCUUUUACAAAACUAGAAAGGAAAAAAUCAACUUUAGAAAGACAAAAAGAAAAGCUGGAGUUCCAUUUCUGCCUGGAUAGAAGUCUCUGAUCCGGGCUGGACUGGGUAAGCAUAUGCUGGACUGAAUUGUCAACAACUUCAACUGCUGAGCUUCAGUUGUAAAUCGAUACCAAAGUUUGAGCUUGGCAGAGCUUUAAUUUAUUUCGAGCCCUGGGAGGCUUUUUGAACGGGUAGAAUUGCAGCCUUCUUAGUUUGAAAGUGGCAGAAGUGGUUGGAUUCGAGGAUUUAUUGAGCUGGAACUGCACUAUAGUACCUGUUCUGCUUGAUCAGGGCUUUCCAUAAAUUUAUUGAGGUUUUCAUAUUUGUAAACACUUAAACUCUGCUUGUUUUGGCUCUUGCUGAACCAAAUUUGUAACGAGAGAAGUCUCGUUUUGAAUGACUUAUUUCUCUAAGUCUGAACUGGAAGUUUUGAUUUAUGGCUGGCUUCUUUUGUGGCUCAAAUGAGUUUUCGAUUGCUUUAGUUUGUUUGAAAGGUCUCAGAAAUCAAGUGAUCAUUUUGAGUCUUUGUCUUUGGUUGAUUUUUGGUUGUUUGAUUUGAUUGUCCUUCAACCUAUUCACCCUUUUCUAUAUUUAUAAGAAAUGUUUUUUUGAAGUAGGAUUUCUAAUUCUUUUAACAAUGGGCUGCAAAAACUUUCAAAAGAUCUCUCAUCUUUAAUUGUAAAGAAAAGGGAUUCGAUCAGUUCUGGCUGAUAAGCCAUCAGUGGUCAGUUAUUUAAGACAAUCACUUCCCUGUUUUUCUUGAAAGAGAACCUAACCCUUCUCUAAUUCCAACUGCCCCUGUGUGAGCUCAAACUGUGAUGGUUAGUGUGACUUUCCAUUUCAACAACUCCCUGUUACCUGCUUAUCCUUUUUUGAGAGUAUAACCUGCAUAAUCUUCUGAAAGAUGGUGGCUUCUCUGGAGCAGAAACAAUAUCUUUGAUUUAUAAAAAGGUUUUUGAUCUUUUAGCCCCAGAGUAAUUUCCUGCAAAUGACCUGUUUUCAUUUAAUUCCCAAUCAACUCUUUUGCGGAAAUUGUUGACUUUCUAAAUCGGGUAGUCAUGUGGGUUCUGAGAAUAGUCUUUCCAAAAGAUCUUGCUGACUUUGCACUCUGGGUUUUUGAGAUCAAUGGUGAGUCAGAAGCUGGGUCCAAUCCGAUUUUUUAUUGAUCUGCUUCAGUGGUUAAUUGCCAUUUAAUCUUGAUGUUUUUACAACUCUGCCAUUUUUGUACAAGACAUGGGCCUUUUGAUUUGGUUUUGGGUCUCCUCUUAUCUUUCGAAUCAAAGCCCAGUCCUUUGUUUUUUCUGUUUUGUGGGCCUUUGUGAAAAGUGGGCUGGCGUGCAUGGAUAUCUUUUUGGCCCAAACAAUUCCUUAUUCAAUUUAUUUAGGUGAAAUUACGAAAUUACCCUUGGGAAAGGGGUAUUUUAGUAAUUUUCUCAUUUGGAAAGAGUUUGGGCAAUGGGUUGGUCGUACUAAGACGAGUCCGUAGACAUGCGGUAGGCUUGACUCGGAAUUGUAACGAAGAAGUUACGAUCAAAAGAAACUCAGUGGCAUGAUCGUAAUUAUUUCAAAAAGAGUUGGGGUAAAAAUCUGAUUUUUCACUUUCUACCUAACUUUCUCUCUCUCUCUCUCUCUCUCUCUCUCUCUCUCUCUCUCUCUCCCCUGAGCCUCCCUCUCUGAGACCAGAAACCACCUGACAGGACCCGCCCCAAAUUUCUCGAAACUCGAGACGAAUCCUGUGGAAAUUCCCGACAUCACCCUGAUGUUGGGCCCACUUCUAAAACUAUAUCCUCCUUUUUCAAAAAGAAAGAAAAUCACGAGACUUUCUACCGAAAUUUUGGCAAAGUCUCCCUUGCAAAUUGAACAUUCCCCAAAUUUCAACCUGCACAAAAAUUCACAAUUUAUAUCCCAACAGGCAGCACGCACAAUAUAAUUUCAUGCAAUUCACAUAAACGGCCUUCGGCCUUCCGAUAAUUCGCAACAAACCACCAAGCACGCUAUCACAUCAAUUCCUACCUUAAACAAGGCAAACAAUAAAUUCAAUUACACUUAAAAAUAUCAAAGCAAUCCACUACCUUUAAUUUUCUCAACAACCAAUAUACGAGGUUUUAAUCUCCUAACACAAACACACUUCGUUCUCACCCAAAUAGCAGGACCAACGACAAGGUCCGCAUUAUACCCAAUAAUACUCAAGUAAAGUUCAACCCGCGGCUGCACCUAGGCACUACCCUAGGCUGCCUAUAUACCCUUACUGAGGGAUCAAGCCACACGUAGUUAUUUCCCUAAAAACCCGAUUCCAAACACAUACAAUAUCUUUAUUCAUCUCUCUGUUAUUCACAAUAUCUCCCCAUACGCCGGUACUACCAACGCCACGUAUGGGGUCUGUCAACACGCCGGAUAACCUAUGCUAUGUGCGACCUCAAUAUAUUAUCACAUAAUCUCCCCAUACGCCGGUACUACCAACGCCACAUAUGAGGUUUGUCCGCACGCCGGAUAACCUACGCCAUAUGGGACCUAACAAUCAUAUAAUCUCCCCAUAUGCCGGAAAUUCCAACGCCACAUAUUAGGUCUGUCUCAACGCCGAAAAAUCCUACACCACGAGAGACCUCAACAUCAUAUCACAAUAUCUCCCCAUACGCCGGUACUACCAACGCCACGUAUGGGGUCUGUCAACAUGCCGGAUAACCUACGCCACGUAUGGGGUCUGUCCGCACGCCAAAUAACCUACGCCACGUGAGACCUAACAAUCAUAUAAUCUUCCCAUAUGCCGAAAAUUCCAACGCUACAUAUAGGGUCUGUCUCAACGCCGUAAAAUCCUACGCCACGCGAGACUUCAACAUCAUAUCACAAUAUCUCCCCAUACGCCAGUACUACCAACGCCACGUAUGGGGUCUGUCAACACACCGGAUAACCUACGCCACAUGCGACCUCAACAUACUAUCACAUAAUCUCCCUAUAUGCCGAUAUUACCAACGCCACGUAUGGAGUCUGUCCGCACGCCGGAUAACCUACGCCACGUGGGACCUAACAAUAACAAGGUGGUACUUACACGAAAUUAAUAUUCGGGGAGGUACAUAGGGUAGUGCGUAUAGCACUUCAAACUGACAUUCUCUCACUUAUCUAAACUAAAACUAGAGGUAUUUUCACUUUAAUGAUACCAGUCUAUAGUAGACUGCAACGUAAUUUAAUCAGAAAAAAUAAUAUUAUUUCUAGAUUAACGAUCAUGCACAUAAACCUAAAUUUCAUAAAGAUCCUAGAACAAUUUAAAUAUUAUUCCACGCUUGUUUUCACACAAAUUCUAUAAAAUACUGUACCACACAACUAGAAUAUUAUACUUUAUUUAUAAUCAAAUAAUAUAAAUUACUGAUAAGCAACAACCUUUAAGGAAAAAUCCUAAAUCGAGUCAAUUUUCAAUUUAACAUCUAAUAACAAUUUAGACUCGAUAAAAAGGUUAUCCUAAUACCUUCCGAAGGGUGAAAUGACCUCAGAAGGCUCACGGUCAAUCGAGGGUCCAACUAUCUCAACUUGGUCAAACAGGCCCACGGGGCCCACGACCUCUAAAUUCCGAUCCGAAAGUUCCUAUAAAUUCUACAAGGCUUAGGACACACGUCCUGCAAAUUUGGUCAAGAUCAGACGGUUGGAUCGCUCACGAUCGCACGAUCUGACGGUUAUUAUAAACAUAAACUUUAAAUUAUUAAAUCGGAACAUCCGGGGAUCCGAUUCACGAUCCGUGAAUUCCCACACGAUCCUAGAAAUGCCUAGAUUAACAUAUAUUAAAUUCAAGACUAUCCAACGGUCCCAACCUAUUGAACCCAGAUAAUGAGCAAUAGGCGAUAUUCGUUCGAGACUCAAACGGUAUCCAAAUUGAAAUCUGAGCACACCUACGCACUCGUGAGGACUAGGAAAUCACUUUAGGACCUAAAGCCAGUCCAUUUCCUGGCCCAUGCCCCGGCAGGGCGUGGGUGCCUUGAGUAAUUUCUGACGGCCGGAAAAACUCCAAACCGCUGGCCAAGCUUCCUAUCCUAGGUGUAACACCCCAUUUGGAACCACUGGCCGGAAGUGGCCGGAAUAGUGAUUCAAAAAUCGGCCAAUUUUCAAUUUGAAAAUCGAACCAUCAACCCUCAAAAUUAAUGAAAUCCUACCCAUCCAUCAGCUAGAACACAUUAAAAGGAUGAGAAAACAUACCUAGAUCGCAAGAUUUGGUAGCCGGAAUCGCCGGAACGAGCUCCGAAAAUUCUGGGUUAAAAUCGGUUUCAUUUUUGCAUUUUUCGAAGAUCACAGGUGGUUCCAGCGGCUGAGAUUGGUCGGGAUGGGAAGAGGGAGGUGGCCCGGUUCUUUUGGGACUGGUGCCACCCCAAGCGGUGGCUGGAUGCGACGGUAGUGGCCCAAAAAUCACCGCGGUGAACAGUAAUAGGGGCUGUUUCUGCGCGCAGGGAGAGGAGAGAGAGAGAGAGAGAGAGAGAGAGAGAGAGAGAGAAGGAAAUCUGAUUUUUUAAUAAAAACCCAUUUCGAAAUAUUUACGGUUUUGUCACGGAGCUUGUUUUGCUCGUAACUUCUUCGUUUCAACUCCGAAUCGAGCCCACUACGUGUCUACGGACUCAUCUCAGUAUGGCCUACCCAAAAAUAUCAGUCACUACCCCAAACUCCUUUCCGGUAAGAAAAUGAUCGAAAUACCCCUACCCCAAGGGUAAAUUUAUAAUUUCACUUAAAUAAUUUAAAUAAUGGAUUAAAUUUGGAGUCGGGGUGUUACACCACCACACCGCUGCCACAUCCGGCCACACCAUCAGACGAGACCGGUCCCGAUCGACUCCUCUCGAAGCCACGAACCCAAACCACUAGUUUUCCCAGCGGGAAAACCAGAGUAUCGUCGGCAAUCGCGAUUGGUUCGCAUCCGGUUUUCUUCCAUCGCGCCGCCGCCUCCGCCGCCCAAUUCCGAUGAAACCAGUGGGGUUAUUAUGUUGUUUUGGAUGCAAACUUUGUUUUUGUCCACUCACAUAUUUUCUGUUUUGCGCCCCCCAGCCAGUAGUCACUCAAGGAGAUUUGCAAGCCGUGUUCGAGGCCACGUAUCAUGAACCGCUGUAGAUUAGGCUUUGAGUAAUUUCUUUCUACUCAACUUGUUCUUGUUAAUUAAAUCUGUUAGAUGCUCUAUUAUUGGCCAUUUUACUGUGUUCUGUUGUAUGUUGAAAGCAUGCUGCUGGUUGGGAUUAUUGUUUUAUGAGCUUGUUGUGCAAGUGGAUUUUGGUUGGGAUUGUUCAAUUUACCAGGGAGACUCUGCCAAAAUUUUGGUAGAGAGUCUUGGUUUUUAGUAAGUGGGCCCGACAUCGAGGUGAUGUCGGCAAAAAGACGGGAUUCGUCCUUGUUUCCGAGGAAUUCCGAGGCGAGUCCUGUCAUUUUGGCUUUCCAACUUCCUACAGAAGAUAAAUUCACCUAAUAAGUUCACCAAAUUAAUAUAGAAAAUUCAUAAAUCCAGUUGGUGAGAAUAAAAUGUAACAACUGUUGUAAAAUAACUGGAAUAUGUGCGAAUAUUGAGCUGCACGUAAAGUAGAUGGGACACAGCAUUUAACGAGGUUCGGUUAUGCCUACGUCCUCGGAGAGCAGCAGCAAUAACUUUCACUAUAUAAAAUAAUAGAGCUACAACUUUGUGUUUACAAUAUGUAUGGCUCACUCAAUUUUCUCUCUUGGAGAAUUUCUCUCUUGCUCUCUUUCCUCUCAACUCACUCACCCUCAUUCUUCCUUCUCUUCCUCUUCUAUCAUUUCAUCUUACAUUACAAGCAAAUGUAAUGCCUAUUUAUAGGCAAAGCAAAUGGCUUGGUUUGGUGGGUGUGUGAUUUGGUUUGGUAGGUGUGUGGUUUGGUUUGAUGGGUGUGUGGUUUGAUUUGGUGGGUGUGUGGUUUGAAUGUUAGAGUAUGUGGGCUUCACCAUAUUCUUCUUUACAACACUCCCCCUUGGAGACCACAUGUCCCUAGAUUGGUUGCCUCAUUAAAACCUUGCUUGGAGAAAAACCCAGUGAGGUAGAAAACUGAUGGAAGGAAGAAAAAGAGUACAGCAAUCUGUAUAGCAUACUUCUGGAUGCUCCCCCUGAUUAAUAUCUCCCCCUGAUGUCUUCAUGACUAUCUUUUGGAGUGAGAAUCUUUCGGAGUGAGUGGAGGAUAUAGCCAUUAAUAAUUCUCGUAGUUGAGUAAAUAAAUAUAUUUCCAGUGAGCUAUCUCUAUGUAAAUCAUAGAAAUUUUCAGAGUCCGCGUUUCUAACAAAACUUGGGCUAUUUGUAAGUUCACUUAAAAGAAUAUGCCCGUACAUGGUGUUAUGCGGAGAUAGCAUCAAAUAUACCUCACAUCAUCCCAAAAUGAUGGUGAUGGAGUUGAGCCCUAUCUGGAAAAUAUGAUGUCCGGUCCAAUAUACUUCCGGAAAAUCAUUAAAGUGUCCAACGGAUAAUCCUCAUAAAAAUGCUUCAAUACUUUCUUAGUAUAAGCAAGAAUCUCGUUGGCAUAAUGCUCGAUUCUUAAGUCGAGACAAAUAUUUCUUAAACUCUUUAGAAGCUUUAAUGUGUUGCAAACACAUUAUAAUCCAUGUACUCACUGAGAC
rnacentral:lncRNA from 1 species